rnacentral:lncRNA from 1 species
UAAAAACGAUACCUUCUCUCUUCUAGAACAACAACAAUUUAUUUACAAUAAUCAUAAAGUUUUAUUUAUCAUGUGGGAGGUACACUAACAACAAUGGACUACAUGCUAAAUGAGCAAAAUAGGCUUAACAUUCAGAGUGAAAAUCCAGUACUUAAUCCAAUUUUACUAUUUGUAAUAAUAACUUACAAAUGAUGAUUUAAGAAAAACAACUAUGGGUCGGUGCCCCCUAGUUACUUAACUUGAAAUAAAAACCAAUCACAGGAAGACAUAUGGUAAAGUUAAUUAAAAUGAAAAUAACAAAAUGACAAUUACCACUUUAAAGAGGAUGGAUGUUAAACGUCUUCUCACUUCUUGCUUUACGGCUUCUGUUUGUUACUCCAACCAUAGCCAUAGCCAAGAAUCGAACGAAAUGCAUACGAAAGAUAAAAAUUGGUGGUGAUCGUUAUGUUAGAGUUGGGUUGCCGGAGACAAGUUGAGUGAUUCACACGCAGGUUGGUAGCUUGUGGUGGUGUAUGAUGUGGUUUUAUGUCGUGCACGGCAGAGGAGUGUUUUCUGUCGGUGGUUCAGCGGCGUUUGAGAGGGAUGGUGAAGGUUGUUGUGCAUGGCGAAGGAUGGGUCACCGGAAGUGGUCGGGGAAAUUGUUGAUGGAGGCAGAUGAAGGUUGUGUUGAGUUUUCAUCAGUGAGGACGAUGUCGAAGGUGGUGCUGAUUUGACGUGAAGAAGAUGGGUUGGUGAGAGGCAGAGUGUAGUUGAAAGUGACGAAGAAAAGGAAGACAGAGGUGUUGCCGAAAGUUAUGGUGGUUGUUGAUGAAAUCGCGACGGCUGGAGGGUGAAGCGGAUGACAGAGUAAGGUGAGGCGGAAAUUGAGACAGUGGCUGAUGAUGGUUGUGGUCGUGGCGGCGGAUGGUGAAUGUUGAGAGUGAAGGAGAUGAACAGUGGACUGAGAAAAAGCCCCCCAAAAGAAAAUGUUUUCCUUUAUUUUAAUCUGAAUCUCCUCCCUUUCCUUUUUUGCCAACGUAACCUUUCCCCUAUCACUAAGGGCACGUGGAGUGCUAAUACUGGAGAGAGAGAGAGUAUUUGUCUGCUGGGAGUGGUCCCUCCCAAAAAUGAAAAAAAUCUCCAUCAAAUCCCCAAAUAUCCAAUUGAAAGAUCCAUUUUCUUCAAUUUUUAUUCAUUCCAGACACUUGGCGUGCCCUUAUUGGAGGGGCUCAUUAGAUUCCUUUUUUUCUCUUCUAUGUGGCAGCGUGAGAGGAGGUAAUGGAAGGAAGGGAGAAAGAUAUUUUAAUGUUUUUUGAUUUAUUUAUUUAACCAAAUAAAAUGCUAAUUUCUGAUUGGUCAAUAAAGGAAAAUGAAGAUAACUCAUGUGAACCUUUGAUUAAAUUCGAAUCGACGAUCUAGAUUAAAUUGAAGAAGCGCACCUAAUUUAAAAUGCCAAAGUUACCCCUUCUAAAUGAUUUAAUUAAUUUAAGUGGGGGUUAAAUCAAUUGAAUCAAAUAAAAUUCACAACUUCUAAAAUGAAUAUGAUAUAAAUAAAAUAAGAACAUGGAAAAUUCUAAUUAAUGAUCCCGAUUAAAAUGAUAAACAAAUAAAAAUAAAAUGACUGAAUAUGGGGAAAAGUCAGGCGAAAAUAUGCUCGGAAAAUUAAAUUGAAUGCAUUAAAAUGAUCAGUGCAAAAUAAACUUAUUGGAAAAAUACAGCGUUUCUUUUAAUUUUGAAAUAAAUUUUGACCGGUUAAAAGGCUCAGGUGGUUCAAAAUACCACUGAAGAAGUCGUCAAACUUAUUGUAAAAAGGCUCAGGCGGUUCGAAAGUUUUUACCCGCUGAUUUUACAUGUACUUGAAAAUUAUUUAAUCAAUUUGUCUGUAUAUUCGAGAAUUUAUUCUGACUGAUAUUUUAGGUAUUAUUCAUGAUGAAAUGCAAGUUAUGCUGUACAACUGAUGCAAAUUGAAAAUAAAAUCAAAUUUAUGAAAAUUUUGAAAUUGCCUGGACAAAAUUGGGGUAUGACAGAAUGCUAGCACUGUCCAAGCCCAUGUACCACCGAAGUGCAGCACCAGUUAAACUAUCUUGGAAGUAUUGAAUCAAUAGAUGAUCAUUAUCAGUUUGAGUAGACACUUUCCUGGAAUACAUAACAAGAUGACUUAACGGACAGGUAUUCCCUUUGUAUUUUUCAAAGUCUGGGACCUCGAAUUUCACCGAAAUCUUGAUGUUUGGAACUAAGCAUAGUUCGGAAGCACGCUUGCCAAAUUAGUCUUUUCCUCUCAGGGUCUUCAACUCCUUAUGUAAAUCAAGAAAUUGAUCUUUCAUUUCAUCCAGCUUAUCAUACACGUCCGGACCUUCAGACGGCUCAGAAUGGUAAAUAGUCUCCUCAACAUGAGGCAAAGUAUGAACAAUAGGCGGAGGUACUGACAUGACUGGCCUAGAUGCUGGCAGAGAAAGAAAAGUGGGCGCAUACCCUUCAGGCACAAAAUUUGGUGGCAUUCCCCAAGGGAAUCCAGCAGGCAUAUCGAGAACGGACUGGCUAGCAGCAGCAACAGGAACAGUUGAUGAGAUAAUCUCUGAGAUGACAGUCCUCUGAGGAGGAGUUGCAGGAGAUGGUGACGGCUGGUUCUGACAGCUAUGGUAGACUCCAUCAACCCCGUGAGUUUGGAGAUUUCAUCCUACAACUCUCUAUUCCCUUGCUCUAGAUGCUCCAUUCUCCAUAGUUGAUUAGCUCGAGUGUUGUAGUGGUGAGUCAGCUCGGCUGAUACACAGAAGAAGAACUGAUAAGACACCUGGCGGAAUAACCCUGUUAUGCAAAUGAUGUAUGAAAUGCAAUGUUUUUUUAUUGUUUUUAAUUUUAAGGAAUAUAUGAUGUCUUAUUUGACAAUAUAAUAAUAAUUUAAUUGACCAUAAAAUCUCUUUCUAUUCAUAAAAUUUUGAAAGGAUUACACUGACUACAAUUUCAGACACCAAAAUACAAAUACAAGAGAAAAGGAAACUAUUAUCCUAAGGAUCCCUAGCAAAUGCAUCAGAUGAUCUGGCUAUGGGAGCAUACUUUCUGCGGAUGCGUCGAAUCUCUGACUCAAAGGACAUCUUCAUCUGAGUCUUCUCAAGGACAAGCUGACCAACAAUAUUCUUCCAAGCACCGGAAGCCUGAGGCAUGCUAGAGGAAAAUAAAUCCUCUGGCUCUCUAUGUCUCUUCAUUUCACGCUUUUCAAGAAUCUCAAUAAGUGCAUUUUUGUCUUUUGAGUCAAGUUUCAACUCUUCAUGCUUUCGGCUCAAAGCAUGGAAUCUCUCUUCCCACAUAUCUUUCUCUUGCUUCAUCUUGGCGAGUGCGUCUUCCAACUCCUCUACAUCUUGGUUAGGGAGAGUAGAUGGCUCAGCCACAACCAAAGACAUAGGUCUUUCAUAAACGUACGACAUCUUCAGCUUCAAAGCUCCCUUCUUUACCCAAAUAACAUAAGCUUCCAAAGCUGCACAGUUUCGUGGACCAAGCUCGAAUCUUCCUUUCCUAUGCAUAUUAUGCCAAGCAUGCGCCAUCCUUUUCUUCAAAGGUUGGGGAUCUUCACCCUCCUGAUAUAAUAGACCCUCUAACUGAACGUUAUUAGGCUUAUCUCUCAAGGGGGACCCAAGUAGACGACGAGCCAAAGCAGGGUUAUAGUUGAUUCCUCCUUGUGUCCCAAUGAAAGGCACAUUAGAGAAUUCACCACAACUAUGAAUAAUAUCCAAGCUACCCAAUACAGGAUCAUACCAAAUAAUAUCAUCAUUAGUGAGAGACAUAAGUCUCUGAGACCACUGUAGACAUUGUCGGUUCUCCAAGAAAGUAGGUGUCUGAGGCAAGUGCGAAAUAAACCACUUGUACAAGAGACGAACACAACACACAAUAGUCCCACCACCUUUAUAAUUCCUUAAAUGCAAAGAGAAAUACAUGUCACCCAAUUGGGUAGGAACAUGAAUUAUAAUCAAGAAGAUUUUAAUGCCGUUAACAUCAACAAAGCCGUCAAUGUUAGGAAAUAAAGCCAAGCCAUAGAUGAGCAGAACAAAGAUAGCUUCAAAAGCAUCCAGGCUACCGGCUUGAGCAACAACAGUAGUUCUACCAAUGAGGAACUCAUAAGUCAACCCAAGAAUACCUCAUUUCUUCACCAAAUGAGCAUCAAUCUCAUAUUUCUUUAGAUGAAGAGAUUCAUCUAUGACAUGAGAUCUGGGAAUCUCCUCCAAUCCACUGAAAGGUACUUUGUUAUAUACGGGUAUACCCAAGAGAUGGACGUACUCUUCUAACAUGGGCACAAGAUGAUAGUCAGGAAAAGUGAAGCACAAAUAAAGAGGUUCAUAGAACUGAACCGAAACACUCAGAAUUCCUUCAACCACAUCAGUAGAUAACACAAACAAGAGUUUCCCAUGACGUUGCUUGAAGUCCAAGGGAUCUAAGACAAAGGAUGACAACUUCCUUAACUCUUUCAAAUCAUGACAUCUGAAAAUGUACUUCUUAGUGUUCCUUCGUCCAUAAUCCAUGGUCUGAAACUAUUUACAAAUAAGACCUUAGUUCCCCUGAAAUUUAUUUUUCUAUGAAGAAUGUCAUGAUACGCAUGUAUGCAUGAAUGCAACAAUCAUAAACAAUGGAUCACACACAAGGCAAACACAAAUAAAGGUCAAGGGAUGAAUCAAGUCAUUAUAAAGAUCAAUCAUCCAUUUUGGUGGAUUACGGCUUUCACCAUAUCAACACCCAAGUUCCAUUGAUAUUGACAAGACUUGAUCAGAUCAACCAAGAAUCAAAGGAUUUGUUGUGAGUCACAAGCUUAAAUUCAGAUUAAGAACCAUCCCAAAGGAGUGUAAUACAAAUAAAAACAUGUAGAUCAUGUUCUAAGAAGUUCCCAGAGUCCUGAUCCCAUCUAUCGGAUAUUACAGGUUAGAAUAACUGACUCAUCAACCCGUAAUACUCUCAAGAGAAACUCGUUUGAGUGUAGUAUCGUGUAACAACUGUUAUCAAGUCUACACUUGAACAGUCUCCACACUACGUCCUAAAUAUGCCAAGUUGCGUUAAAUUUUCUACGGUCCUCAGCUUCUCGCACCCCCAAAUUAGAGAAAGUAAUGCCUAUCCACAAAUAACUUGUGUGACAUCAGUAACUCUAAAGAGGUCUCCAAUGAGUAUAUGGGUCUCAAGCCAACUUGUUAAGGACAACUCUACACAAGUUGAACAUGAAUAUAUCAUCCUCCUAUCUUAAUUGCACUCAAGUUCGGGUUAGAACUUAUCUUACCACGCUGAGAUCACCAAGCACAACAAACAAAUUAUAUCACACAAACAACAUAUACAAACAUCAAAUAUACAAAUAUAUACACAUAAAAAAGUAGGCUAAACCCACUGAGGACUACUCCCUAGCAAAGUCACCACUUAAUUUCUGUAGUGUUAAAUUCGUGACCAUCAAGCUAUGGAUAAACAUGACGUAGUAAAACCAGAGUCGCCAUGGUGCUUUUAUUGUUUCCAAAGGAAAAUGGCAAAAGUACGAGCAAAACCCAAAGAUAAGAAGUUUUCAAAACAAACUAAUAAAAUGCCAUAGAUUACAGGUAAGGGGAUUGGUUACACAGAGGGAAGGUGUUAGCACCCAAAGUGUCUUAGGUACUCCUAGGGAGCCCUUUUUGUGUGCAUAUGUUUUUUGGUAUAAAUGAUGUUUGAUAAAAUAUAGAGUAAGGGGAUGAGAAAAGAAUUCAUUGAUUAUAUUUUUGUGUUUAGCAAGACCUUCGGUCUUAUGCCUACAUACCAACAUAAAAAUGAGGGAUCAAAACCCCGUAGUCCAUGGUAAAAAUUUAAAAGAAGUUGAUGAAUUGAUAUUAACAAAAGUUUUAACGAGAAAAGGCACAAAAGGCCAAAGAUUUGAAUGGGGUUGUUAGUUCUUUUUGUCUUUUGAAAUUUAAGUCAAUAUGGUUAUGUUUAUUUACAAGUUUGAUUUAGGAAAAGAAGUUUAAAAAUUCAAUGGCACAAGGCCAAAGUUUUUAAUCAUUAAAACAUGUUUAAGUUUGAAAUCACAAGCAAAGAAGGUUUUUGAAAAGAGGGAGACAUUUUGAAAUUAAAGAAAUGGGAGGAUAUGAAGAGACUACCCUAAGCAAAAUUUUAAAAGUUAAGAGUUGAAAAGAUCUGACCAAUGGGAUGCAAUCCAACAGACAAGAAUGUCAUAUAGAAACCCAUUUUAUUUUGGACUUUAAUAAAGCAACAAGCAAUAAGCAAUGAUCAAUAUCCAUACAUCAUAAAGAUCAAGGCAUCAAAUAAAGAUAACCACAUUGAAGCCAACAUUCCAAUAGCUAGCAGUCUUCAGUGUCUUCCAAUGUAUCAGAUGAAAUAUUCCUCGAUCAACUCAGAACAAAACAUCAGACAUAAGCAAUAACAAAAUAUCAAUUAAAUCUAGAGACAAAGUAUCAAAUGAAUCAAAAAGAUCCAAGGUCUUGCAUCAGAUGAAAGUCGUUGUCAAGGAUAACUCAAUAUCAUAUGUUGGCAUUAGCCAAGUCCUUUAGCACAGGGAAUGUUCCUUAGUCCUAAGUCCAAAAGUUCAGAUCAAGUCCUAACAGUCCAACAAAUAUUUUUUAGGGUUUUUGUUAUUAUUAGGUAAUUUAGGAUCCUAAGACCACAAACAAAAUCAAAAUACACAAACAAAUAUAUACAAACACAAUAUAUAGCUCAAAUGAGCAAAGCGAAAAGGACUGAAACAUAAACAAGUUGCAUGAAAUGUAAAUGGCAAUGAAUGAUAAGGGUACUUGAAAUUUAAAGUGCACAAAGUAAAUGACUUGAAAGUAAAAGCAUAAUGAAUAAGAGUUAGUCAAUGGUUAGUCAAAUGUUAGCGUUGAGUUUUAAUUGAUUAAGUCAUUCUUUGGAUAACACUUAACCAUUCAUUCACAAGUAUGAAUCCUUAAACUAAGACAUCUCCUAUGAGAAGGGCUCUAACUUGGAUAAUUCAACAAGUAUGCCACUAACUUUCAUGAAAGAAAAAAAGGUCAAGUUUCCACACAAUUCCAUGAAGAAUGAGAGGCUUACAAUCUCACUUACUAGAAUGUUAUGCGUUGAGGGACAAAUUUAGCUCUAUGUUAAGCAAUCGUAAUUAGACUUAUGUAGAAGUCACAACUAUCUGAGGUCGGGCAAUAAAAAUAUAGGUGUUAAUGCCUGUUAGAGAUUUGGUAUAAAGAACCAAACUCCUAAAACAUACCACACACUAAAAGAAAUGAGGGAAGGACCUAUCUCAGUUUGGCUCAUGUUGAUUCAUCUGACACAUGGUAAUUGAUGAAUCAACUAGCAUUAGACAUGAAGAUAUUUAAUUGGUGAAUGAUGGGUGGGGAAGAAUAGGGAUGAAGAUGAAGAGGGAAGGGGAAAUAGAAACACAAAUAGAUCAUGAGAGGAAUUCCAUUUGAUCAAUAACAUCCAUUCAUUUUGGGAGAGAAAAUAUACAUUUCAUCAAUCCCCUAAAUCCAAUGGUUUUGAUCAAACAAAAGUCAAAUCAACCAUGACCAAGGCACAAACAGAAAUUCAAACAUCACAAGAUCAUAAAAAUGGCUUAACAUAAUUUUCAAGCAAUUAUUAAAUUAAAAAUUAAUUUAAAAAUAAAUUAAAAUGCAUUUAAUUUGGACAAAACCUCAAAUCUCUUCAAAACACCAAACAAAUGGCCAAGGGAUUUAUCAAAGGUCAAAGGGCCUUAGGCAAAAAAAUUCAAAAUUUUUGGAAAGUCAGAAGUAUUUUAAUACAAUUAAAAAUAUGCAUAAAAAAAUUUAAUUCAUGAAAAAUACUAAAAUUAAUCCAAAAAAUAUUUUAAAUUCAAAAUAUGGAAGAGAAAAAUAUUUAAAUAUUUUUGGUGAAAGUCCCAUAUUUUUUGUAUUAAAAAUGAAAUUUUUAUGAAUAAAAUAAAAUAAAGGGAUUAAAUGGAAAUUCAUAAAAUAAAAAGAAACUAGAAAAAACGAGGGUCAUCAGAUCUCCCUCAUUAAUUGAGGUGGCAGAUCUGAUGGCCAAGCGCGCGUGUGUUCCACCAAAGGUCCUAGUCAACGUGUAACACCAAAGGUAAUCAGAUCACAUGGUUGAGAUUGUAACGUGGAUGUGUGAUCAGAUGGCUAGAACCUUGCCAACACAUCACCAGAGCCCUAGCUCCUGUCAUCUUCUCUGGUGGACCUCACCGGAUUGGUCCACCACAAACCAUCACUAAAAUGAAAAGUAAGGACAUGGUUUUAAAGGAAAAAUGCUCAAGAGCUCGAAUCUGACCUCCAUUUCAUCCAAUUCCAAAUAUAUUGAAAGAUAAAUGGAUUUGAAAUUUGAGGUUCUGAUCUGAGUUGCUUCGAUUUGACCUCAAAGCAACUCAAUCUUAUUGCCUACAUUGGUAGGACUUCAGCCAACCAAAAGUCAAAUAGAAUGGUGAAGAAUUGAGAGAGAAACGAAGGCUCAAAGUGUCAGAAAAAUCACCUUCGGGUAGCUUGAAUUUGGCUUGAUCUUGAUCUGAAUUCACUUGGUUCUUCCUCCUCUUGCUUGCAGUGAUCAAUUGAGAUGAAAAAGGAAAUGAACCCUUGGAGUUUGAAUCUCAAAAUAGAAGGUGAAAUUGAAACUCGAUUUAAAAGAAACCUUCAAGGAAUUUUAUGUUGAGGUUUUGAGAUAUCUUGGCAAGGCUUGGGCAAGGUGUGUGUACUGAUCUUGAGGCAAUGCACUUGUUUAUAUAGGCAAUGGGAUUCAUUUUUGCACCCUUUAAAAUUUUGCCAAAAUUAGUAACAUUGGUGCAUGGAUCCAUGGGUAAUUAUUUGGGCCCAAUUCAUGAUGAAAUUCAAGUCUAAUUCAUGAAAAAUGAGUACUAAAGCAAUAACAUGUAAGCAUGCAAUAAGAAAUAAUCAUUUGAAUUCAAAACUUGCCAAAACAAACCUAUGAAAGAAAAACAUGCGCAAGUCCCUCAAUAUUUGUCCAAAUAAGGUGAUGUUGGACUUUUUGGAAAUGCAACAUCAAGGGGAGCAACUUUUAGGUUUAACACUUUUCCAUUUGGAGCUUGGAUCAUGAUGAAUUUUGAGGUGGAAGUUUGAGAAAUCAAACAUAAUUGAAAUUUUUCUAAGUACCAAGUCAAAUGACCACUUCUUCCUCCUAAAAUAACUUUUGUUAUGAGCUUUAAAUAGAAAUGAUUCCUUAACCAAAUUUUUAUCUCUUUCAUCCCUCUUCAAUUUGGUCACAAAUUUGACAUCAUUUGGAUUUGGCAUGAUGGAGUUAUGCAUUUUAGAAGUUUAGGAAAAUUGCUUGUUCAAUGAUAAUGGCCCAAAAUGACCUAUAAUGUUUCCGCUUGGUACAUGCCCUUGCACAUUUCACAAAGAAUAAAAGUUGUAUAAGACAUCUUUAAAUUGAUCAUGAAACUCUUAUGGCCUUCAUAUCAUAAAAAUUAAGCAAUUUAUGGUCCUGAGAAGUUGACCUCCUAACAAGGGCACAAACAAAAUGACCUAUAAUCUUUCACCAUAAAAAGCAAAACUAGCUCCCGAUGUCAAAAUGAAAGUUAUUUGGAAUGUCAUAAAGAGUAAAGUUUCUCUUGGAAUAAUUUUCAUAUGACAAAAAUUGUAGGAGAUGGGGUCUAGGGAACCCCAGUUUUGAUCAGUUGACUUUCUCUAGUCAACCUCUUUGAACCAACUUGCAAACUUGAAGUUCUCUUGAUCUUUAGGAGUCCUGGAGGAUCAUAUACGCAUAAGAUGAUGUAUAAUGAAGUAUCCCUUUAUAUAUUUGAUCAAUUGUUGAAGAAACUUGUUGAGGAAGUCACACAAGAUACCCAGAUGAAUUAGGGCUUCCAAGGCAAACAAGCUUCAAACUCUUGAUGCUUGAUCAAAAGGAUAAAUAAAUAUCAUGGGGAUCCAUGCAUGAUGUUUAGAACCAUUUGUGAAACUUUCCUUGAUUGAUCUCUUGUCAUGAGGGUCUCAAACCCUAGUUAUGAAUUUGGUGGGGGAAUAGAUGGACACACACGCACCUACAAAAGAAACAAAGCUACAUAUAUACAUAUUUUGGUAUUUUGGUUAGUAAACAAAGAAACAUAAAGUAUUAUACAAUCAAAUUUUCUUGGUGAUCUCUCCUAAUGCAAACCCAAUGAAUGAGGGGUAAGGAGGAUUCCAAGGUGUGAUCCCAAAGCCGAUGCAAAUGAUGAGAUAGCAUGAGGGAUCUUAGGGUCAAAGUUAGGGUCUUACUAGACUAUGUUCAGAAAGGGGUAAUAAUUUUAAAAUUCAUUGAUACAGACCAUCAAUGGGAUGAUAUCAUCACAAAACCGUUAGCUGAAGAUAUAUUUCUUUUUAUUCUGAAACAUUUAAAUAUGGAAGAUUUCCCAAAAUGAAUCUAAACUUGUGUUUCUCCUCUCUAAUAAUAAAAUAGGCUCUGAAUUUAUCAUAUGUUGUUUAUCUAGUUCUAGUUCUGAUACUUCUACAAGUUAGAUGUUAUCUGGGCUAGAAUCCCUCUAGGUCAGAAACCUCUUGGUAUUCUUGACUCCAGAAACAUCAAAAUGUGGUCUCUCAAACGUGUGGCUUUGGAUCUUCUAUACAGUUGUUUAGCUCAGAACUCAAUAGCCAAACUGUUGAGAUCCCCUUGAGUAGUGUGCAUAUUUUUAAGAUCAGACAACCAUCAUUAGCUGCAUUUAAUUUCCCCCGUGCUUGUCAACUCAUAUUUAUGGAAUAAUGCUUAUUGUUGUCCCCUCUUACUUAUAAACGUUGUCGUUUUGCAUGUAUUGUGGUUUUGUAUAUGUAGUUACCACAUUUCCCAGUUUUCCACUUCUCACUCUCACAAACUACACAAACCCUCUUGCGUUCAUUCUCUCUGCAACCUUCAUCUUUAUAGCAAUCUUCACCUUCUCCAACUGCAAAUGGAUCCUCAACAACAACAUGUCUAUGAAUACUCUCAGUAAAUGGAUGUUGUUGAUCAACGUGUUGAAGCUCCACAACAGGUUAUAACUCAAACUUCUACAACUUCAAUAACUGCAUAUCAAGAACCUCAUGUUCUUGAUCGCCCCUCUCACAUAAAUCUUGCCACUCCGUUUGAGAAGUUGGAAGUGCUAUGUGAGUUGCUGGUUGAUUUUGACAACCUGAAGAGAAAUGGAAUUGAUCUUACUGAAGAAUUAGAGAAACAAGGUUGUGGAAACUACUUCAAGAGGCUCUAUGGUCCUGUAUACACAUUUCUUGUAAAGAUGGUCAUCACAGAGAAGUCCAUCGUGAAGCUUCUGGACAUGGAAACUAUAUGGGGCAGAAGGAUUUACAACAUCAACCCUAGGGAAAAAUAUAUGUCCCAGGAAAUCAUCCCUACAAUAUUCAAUCAGAACCCAUAAGAGAAAACUUCAAAGAACAAGGUGUAAGACCCAAUUUUAACCCUAAGAUCCCUCAUGCUAUCUCAUCAUAUGCAUUAGCAUUGGGAUCACACCUUGGCAUCCUCCUUACCCCUAACUCAUUGGGUUUGCAUUGGGAGAGAUCACCAAGCACAAUUUGAUUGUAGCAUACUUUGAUUUUCAUUAUUCACUAACCAAAAUACAAAAAAUAUGUCAAUGUAUAGUUUGUUGUUUUUCCAGGUAGUGUGUAUUCUCACAUAUGCUCUAUCAAGCUUAUAUCUAUGGUUUGAGGCCCUCAAUGCAAGGAGUUCAAUCAAGAAAUGGUUCACAUUGGCUCUGAGCAUCAUAUAUGGGUCCCCAUGGUCUUCACAUGUUAUUUUGAUCAAGAAAUCAUCAAGAGUUUGGAGUUUGUUUGCCCUAGAAACCCUAAUUCAUCUGGGUAUCUUGUGUGACUUCUUCAACAAGUUUCUUCAACAAUUGAUCAAAUAUUUUAAGGGAUAAUUCACAUUACAUCAUAUUAUGAAUAUAUUAUCCUCCAUGAGUCCCAAAAGUCAAGAGAAUGUCAAGCUAGCAAGAUGGUUCAUGGUGGUUGACCAGAGAAAGUCAACUAAUCAAAACUAGGGUUCCCAAGACCCUAUCUCCUACAAUUUGUGUCAUAUGAAAAUUAUUCUAAGAGAAACGUUACUCAAAAUAACAUUCCAAAAAACUUUCAUGUUGAAGUCAAGAGCUAGUUUUGCUUGGAAAGUCAUUGUUUAUGGUGAAAGAUUAUAGGUCAUUUUGUCUGAACCCUAGUUUGGAGGUCAACAUCUCAAGACCAUAACUUAUUCAAUUUGUAUGAUAUGGAAGCCAUUAAAAUUGCAUCAUCAAAGUAAAGAUGUAUACUUCAACUUUUAUGUUUGGAGUAAGUGCAAAUUCAAAUUGCAAAUGCAUGUGCCAAGAGGAAACAUUAUAGGUCACUUUGGAGAAAUACCAUUGAACAAGUGAUUUUCCUCAACUUCUAAAAUGCUUAACGCCUUUAUUAAAAAUGAAAAUAAGGUCAAAUUUGUGACCAAAUUUAAUAGGUUUGAAAGAGAUACAACUUUUAUGAAGGGUGGAAGAAGUGAACAUUUGACUUGGGAGUUAGAAACUUUUCAAAUAUGUAUGAUUUCCCAAACUUCCACCUCAAAAUUAGUCAUGAUCCAAUCUUCAAAUGAAAAACUGUUCAACAUGAAGGUUUUCCCCUUGAUCUCACCUUUCCAAAAAGUCCAAGAUCAUCUCAUUUGGCCAAAGUAUGAAGGACUUGCGCAUGAGUGCAAUGUGAGGUACCAUUUGGAAGAAUGUCAUGAUCCAAUUCAACUCAAUAAUGCAUGGCUUAAUGCAACACCUUCAGCAUAACAUGUGCAGAGUUUUGGACCUUUGCCAAUCAUUCUUUGGGCUUUGUACACGCCCAUGCAAGCAUGCACACUUGAAUCGCUAUUUUUGGCAUUUGAAUGGAAGUGUGUAGAAAUCAAUUGCAUUGGCUAUAAAUAGAGAAGCAAUAUGACCAGAACUUCAUGAACACCUUGCCCAAGCUUUGCUACACUAAUUCAAACCCUCACUUCCAUAUAAUUUCUGAAGAUUUCUCUUGAAAUCGAGCUUGAACUUCAUAUUCUGUUCGGAAGUUCAAACUCCAGAAAUUCACUUCUCUUUUCAUCUCAAUUGGUUCCUGCAAGCAAGAGGAAGAGAAAGCAAUCAAAUACAGAUCAAUAUCAAGUGGAAUUGGAUCAACUCGAAGGUGAUUUUUUAAAAACUUAAUUUCUUCAAUAAUAUCUCAAUUCUCCACCAUUCUUUGUGAUUUUUGGCUGUCUGAAGUCAUAUCAAUGUAGGCAAGAAGAUUGAGUUACUUUGAGGUCAAAUCGAAGUAACUCAGUUCAUGAACCCCCAAAAUUCAAAUCCCUGUAUCUUUUUCUAUACUUGGAAUUAGAUAAAAUUGAGGCCAGAUUCGAGCUCCUGAGCAUUAUUCCUUUAAAUCCAUGUCCUUGUUUUUCAUUUUGGUGAUGGUUGAUGGUGGACCAGUCUGGUGAGGUCCACCGAAGGAGAAGAUCGGAGCCCUAGCCCGGGUGAUGUAUUGUCAUGCAUCUCAGCCAUAAGAUCCAACCGAAUUGUUUUAAUCUUAUGUGUUGCUUUUGAUUACCGUGUGUGUGGGAAAGUUGACUGAAGCGCAUGUGGAACACGUGUUUCCAUCCAUCUGAUAUGUGACCUCAAUUAAUGAGGGAGAUCAGAUGGCUCUCCUUUUUUUUGAAUUUCUGAAUAUUUCAUUUAAUCCAUUAUAUUUAAUUAAUUCAUAUUAAUUUCAUUUUUAAUCCAAAAAAUAUGGGACUUUCACCAAAAAUGUUUAAAUAUUUUCCUCUUUCAAUUUUUGAAUUAAAAACAUCUCUGAUAGAACCAACAUCGUGUGAAGAAGCUCUUCAAGACAAAGAAUGGAUUCUGGAAAUGAAAGAAGAACUUGAUCUGUUUUCAAAGAAUGAUGUCUGGGAUCUUGUACCACGACCUAAGGGAACCCAUGUGAUUGGAACCAAAUGGGUCUACAUAAAAAAACUUAAUGAAAAGGGUGAAGUGGUAAAAAAUAAAGCAUGACUGGUGGAACAAGGUUAUAGUCAACAAGAAGGUAUUGACUACAAUGAAACCUUUUCUCCAAUCGCCAGGUCAGAAUCUAUUCGUCUACUUGUAUUAUUUGUUGUAAAUUACUCUAUCAAAUUAUACCAGAUGGACGUCAAAAGUGCGUUUCAGAAUGAAUAUAUUUCUGAAGAGGUGUAUGUUUAUCAACCACCUGGCUUUGAAAACUCAAAAUGUCCAUAACAUGUUUUUAAAUUGAAAAAAUAUCUUUAUGGUCUGAAACAAACUCUUAGAGCUUGGUAUGAAAGACUAAGUUCUUUUCUUCUGAAAAGUGAUUUUAUUAGAGGCAAAAUGGACUUCACUCUCUUCUGUAAAAACAUCAUAAAUGACCUUAUAAUCUGUCAGAUAUACAUUGAUGACAUAAUUUUUGGUUCUGCUAACCUGUAAGACCCCAAUUUUGACCCUAAGAUCCCUCAUGGCAUCAUAACAUUGCAUUUGCAUUGCCUCAAGGAUCUUUAGCAUCUUGGUUCCCUUUGCCUUUGGGUGGGACUCCUUGUGAUUUUGCUUUGAGAUCACCAAGCAUGCUUGAAUUAUACAUCAUUGUUUCUCUUACUUUUGUUUACUAACCAAAAGCACAAAAAUGUGUCACUAACAUCUUUUGUUUGAGCUUGAGUAUCAUCCAAGACACUUUGUGGGUUCUAUUUAGAUGAUCAGUCAACACAAGGGAAUGGCUUGAGAUACUUCCAACAGGUUCAAAUGGGGUCUAUUCGUCAGUCAAAACGUUAAUCGUGAAGUAGCAAAAGUUUGUUCAUGAGCUGUCAUGCUCGUUAGGCGAGCAGAAUGGGUCGCCUAGCGAGUCCCAAGAAAAGCCACCAGAAUCACCUACGCUCAGAGGAAUUUCUUGAACUGUUAUGCUCGCUAGGCGAAGCCCACGUGUUUAAAAAAAAUAAAAAUAAAAAAAAUAAAAUAAAAAAAUAUAACAGAAUUUUUUUGGACUUGGGCCUCUCUCAUUUGAGCCCACAGGUCCACAAAAAUCAGGUUAUAAAUUCAGAGUUUCAGUGAAACAAAAGGAAACUCUAUUCCUAUUACCCUGGCAGGGAAAAAGAUAGUGAGAGAAGAGCUAACAGAGUUCAGAGCAACCUCCAGAGACUGAAGGGAACUCAUCGGCAAAGAACCAAUUCCCUCUCAUAUAAACCCUAAGAGUGCUUUGCAAACCCAACCGGGCAAUUCAAUUUCAUUCGAUCUCUCCAGUCAGGUUUGCCUUAUUCCCAUUACUUUAUGCUUUUAAUUUGAAUGCUCUGAAUGUAUGAGGUAUUAUGGGUGAAUUUGAUACCCUUUUGAUGCAUGUGUUUGACAAGAGGUUUAGGCCUCCUACCCUUGGUUGCUUUUUGUGAGCUUUUUGUGAAUUUUAAUGGCAUGAUUCAUGUGGUUACAUUUUGAUUUGGGGGCAACUCUUGAUUACCCUAUCUUGUUUCUCUAACCUGUUUGUUGAGUUUUGUUUUGUGAGGGCUCAUAUGACUCUUGCAGAGAUGGCUUGCCUGGUGUUCCACUUUAUUUGUGGGAUACCACCUGGAGGUUUAUUCCGAUUACCUGUACUGACUCNNNNNNNNNNNNNNNNNNNNNNNNNNNNNNNNNNNNNNNNNNNNNNNNNNNNNNNNNNNNNNNNNNNNNNNNNNNNNNNNNNNNNNNNNNNNNNNNNNNNNNNNNNNNNNNNNNNNNNNNNNNNNNNNNNNNNNNNNNNNNNNNNNNNNNNNNNNNNNNNNNNNNNNNNNNNNNNNNNNNNNNNNNNNNNNNNNNNNNNNNNNNNNNNNNNNNNNNNNNNNNNNNNNNNNNNNNNNNNNNNNNNNNNNNNNNNNNNNNNNNNNNNNNNNNNNNNNNNNNNNNNNNNNNNNNNNNNNNNNNNNNNNNNNNNNNNNNNNNNNNNNNNNNNNNNNNNNNNNNNNNNNNNNNNNNNNNNNNNNNNNNNNNNNNNNNNNNNNNNNNNNNNNNNNNNNNNNNNNNNNNNNNNNNNNNNNNNNNNNNNNNNNNNNNNNNNNNNNNNNNNNNNNNNNNNNNNNNNNNNNNNNNNNNNNNNNNNNNNNNNNNNNNNNNNNNNNNNNNNNNNNNNNNNNNNNNNNNNNNNNNNNNNNNNNNNNNNNNNNNNNNNNNNNNNNNNNNNNNNNNNNNNNNNNNNNNNNNNNNNNNNNNNNNNNNNNNNNNNNNNNNNNNNNNNNNNNNNNNNNNNNNNNNNNNNNNNNNNNNNNNNNNNNNNNNNNNNNNNNNNNNNNNNNNNNNNNNNNNNNNNNNNNNNNNNNNNNNNNNNNNNNNNNNNNNNNNNNNNNNNNNNNNNNNNNNNNNNNNNNNNNNNNNNNNNNNNNNNNNNNNNNNNNNNNNNNNNNNNNNNNNNNNNNNNNNNNNNNNNNNNNNNNNNNNNNNNNNNNNNNNNNNNNNNNNNNNNNNNNNNNNNNNNNNNNNNNNNNNNNNNNNNNNNNNNNNNNNNNNNNNNNNNNNNNNNNNNNNNNNNNNNNNNNNNNNNNNNNNNNNNNNNNNNNNNNNNNNNNNNNNNNNNNNNNNNNNNNNNNNNNNNNNNNNNNNNNNNNNNNNNNNNNNNNNNNNNNNNNNNNNNNNNNNNNNNNNNNNNNNNNNNNNNNNNNNNNNNNNNNNNNNNNNNNNNNNNNNNNNNNNNNNNNNNNNNNNNNNNNNNNNNNNNNNNNNNNNNNNNNNNNNNNNNNNNNNNNNNNNNNNNNNNNNNNNNNNNNNNNNNNNNNNNNNNNNNNNNNNNNNNNNNNNNNNNNNNNNNNNNNNNNNNNNNNNNNNNNNNNNNNNNNNNNNNNNNNNNNNNNNNNNNNNNNNNNNNNNNNNNNNNNNNNNNNNNNNNNNNNNNNNNNNNNNNNNNNNNNNNNNNNNNNNNNNNNNNNNNNNNNNNNNNNNNNNNNNNNNNNNNNNNNNNNNNNNNNNNNNNNNNNNNNNNNNNNNNNNNNNNNNNNNNNNNNNNNNNNNNNNNNNNNNNNNNNNNNNNNNNNNNNNNNNNNNNNNNNNNNNNNNNNNNNNNNNNNNNNNNNNNNNNNNNNNNNNNNNNNNNNNNNNNNNNNNNNNNNNNNNNNNNNNNNNNNNNNNNNNNNNNNNNNNNNNNNNNNNNNNNNNNNNNNNNNNNNNNNNNNNNNNNNNNNNNNNNNNNNNNNNNNNNNNNNNNNNNNNNNNNNNNNNNNNNNNNNNNNNNNNNNNNNNNNNNNNNNNNNNNNNNNNNNNNNNNNNNNNNNNNNNNNNNNNNNNNNNNNNNNNNNNNNNNNNNNNNNNNNNNNNNNNNNNNNNNNNNNNNNNNNNNNNNNNNNNNNNNNNNNNNNNNNNNNNNNNNNNNNNNNNNNNNNNNNNNNNNNNNNNNNNNNNNNNNNNNNNNNNNNNNNNNNNNNNNNNNNNNNNNNNNNNNNNNNNNNNNNNNNNNNNNNNNNNNNNNNNNNNNNNNNNNNNNNNNNNNNNNNNNNNNNNNNNNNNNNNNNNNNNNNNNNNNNNNNNNNNNNNNNNNNNNNNNNNNNNNNNNNNNNNNNNNNNNNNNNNNNNNNNNNNNNNNNNNNNNNNNNNNNNNNNNNNNNNNNNNNNNNNNNNNNNNNNNNNNNNNNNNNNNNNNNNNNNNNNNNNNNNNNNNNNNNNNNGAGAGGAGAUUAUGACAUGCCACGAGAGGCUAUACGAAACCUAAGAAAUCGAUAACAUGGGGAAAAGUAAAGGGAUCGAGAGAUCUACCGUACGGAUAAAGAUCGAAGUAACAGCAAUUAGAUAAAUAAGAACCCAAAGACUCUUCCAGCUAGCACCAUCAAAGAAAGUGAGUCAGUACAGGUAAUCGGAAUAAACCUCCAGGUGGUAUCCCACAAUAAAGUGGAACACCAGGCAAGCCAUCUCUACAAUAGUCAUAUGAGCCCUCACAAAAUAAAACUCAACAACAGGUUAGAGAAACAAGAUAGGGUAAUCAAGAGUUGCCCCAAAUCAAAAUGUAACCACAUGAAUCAUGCCAUUAAAAUUCACAAAAGCUCACAAAAAGCAACCAAGGGUAGGAGGCCUAAACCUCUUGUCAAACACAUGCAUCAAAAGGGUAUCAAAUUCACCCAUAAUACCUCAUACAUUCAGAGCAUUCAAAUUAAAAGCAUAAAGUAAUGGGAAUAAGGCAAACCUGACUGGAGAGAUCGAAUGAAAUGAAUUUCCCGUUGGGUUUGCAAAGCACUCUACUUCUCAUCUAUGGGCUAGUAUUAUUCCCCAACAUCGACAAGUUUGUGGAUGUGAACGCUAUUAGGAUCUUCUCUACUCUUAAUCCCGUUCCGACUCUGUUGGGCGAUACCUACUUCUCUUUACAUGUGAGGAAUGCAAAGGGUGGUGGCGUCAUUGUGUGUUGUUUGCCUCUGUUGUAUAAGUGGUUUAUUUCUCACUUACCUCAGACAAUCGCUUUCCAGGAGAACAAGGAAUGUCUACGGUGGUCCACGAGACUUAUGUCUCUCACUAAUGAUGAUAUCUCUUGGUAUAACCAUGUGUAUGAUGGUGUGCAGAUUAUUGAUUCUUGUGGCGAAUUCUCCAAUGUGCCUCUUCUUGGUACAUGUGGUGGGAUUAACUACAACCCUGUUUUGGCGCGUUGUCAGCUUGGGUUCCCCCUAAAGGAUAAACCUAAUAACAUUCUGUUAGAAGGUGUAUUCUUUCAGGAUGGUAAAGAUCCCCAAGGCUUGAAAGCUAGGAUGGUCCGCGCUUGGCACAAGAUUCAUAGGAAAGGAAGGAAAGAGUUGGGUCCUAAGAAUUGCAUCGCUUUGGAGCCUUACACUGUUUGGGUUAGGAAGAGGGCGUCUGAGUAUCUCAUGCCUUACGAGUAUCCGAGACCUACACCUAUGAUUAUGGCUGGGCCUUCAACCCUCCCUAAUCAAGGAGUAGAGGAGUUGAGAGACGAAGACCGUUCACGUGCCUGGAUCCGUGAACGUGAAGAGUUGCUUCAGCAGAUUAAGGAGAAGGAUGCGUUGAUUGAGUUUCUUGAGCAUCAGGUUAUUGAUGACCCUGAUGAUGUAUGGACUUCUCUACUUCCUCAGUCUUCUAAGUUCUGGAAGAGGAAGUAUGAUCGAAUCGCCAAAGAGAAGGCCGAUAGGGAGGCAGCCUACGAGAGGGAGGUGAAGAGGCUUCGUGCAUCUUAUCUCCCUAUGUCCCGAGCUUUAGAUGAUUGUUUCUAGGGAUCCAUAAGAUGAUUAUUUUCCUUUUCUCUUGUAUAAGAUUGAAGAUGAUGCACUUCUUUCCCCUGAUAUUAUUUGAUGAGAUAUUUCCAUAUGUGAUAAAAUGCUUAAUAUUUCUAGAAUUUGCAAAUAAAACUCUAAAGUUCCUUUGAAAUAAAAAACAAAUCAUAUACACAAACAUUGCAUGCAUCAUAUGCAUAAACAUUGCAUGCAUCAUAUGCAUAAGCAGGUUUUGUUUCCGGACCCUUGCCCUGUGGUCUAACUUUGUGUCCUUCAUUUAUUUUGAAGACAAGCUGAUUCACCGAUACUACACUAGAGCCAAUAUUUCAAGACCAUGGAUUCACGAGGCAGGCGCCGUGACGUCCACCCUACACCAGAAAUUGAAAUUCGUGAAAAACAAGAAGCUGGUGGUGGUAGGGGGAGAAAGGGCUCNNNNNNNNNNNNNNNNNNNNNNNNNNNNNNNNNNNNNNNNNNNNNNNNNNNNNNNNNNNNNNNNNNNNNNNNNNNNNNNNNNNNNNNNNNNNNNNNNNNNGAACUUUGCUUUGCUUUGCUUGAUAGCAAUUUGCAUUGAGGUAUAAUUUCCUUACUCCAUGUAGUCUGGAAGACCUGGCCUGUUACUUGGCCAGGCACCUGUCUGAAGUCCUCCUUAAGAGGCAAUGUUUGUGUUUGUUUACCUUUGUCCUUGUACAUAUUCAAAGACCUCCUAAGUGAAGAGGCAUUGGCAGAUAUAAGGGAUGUGCAAUCCAUCCCCUACUAUUCUGUGUGUCAUCUGCUUUGCUCACACCACUGUGUUGAUGCAUUGCAGAUACCAACCCAAGAUCUUGUACAGUUGUACAUUGAGUCAGUGUCAUAUGUGUAGAAGGGUUCCCACUUUCUGAACCGACACAUUCUUGUCUUAAGCUCUCCCAGGCCAGGGAUAAGAGCUGUGAAGUCUCAUCUUCACCCACCUUUCAUCAACUUCACCCUAACUCUUAAUGUUAGGGUUAAGAGCUAACACUACCCAGUUACAGUGGUUUGUUUGUUGAGGUUGAUAUGACCCCUCGACUAAAACCUAACCUUGAUUGAGCCCAUUGCUUGCAUAUAGUGUGUGCUACUUGUGCUUGUGUGUUUGCUUUAGCUUGCUUCCUGUGCAANNNNNNNNNNNNNNNNNNNNNNNNNNNNNNNNNNNNNNNNNNNNNNNNNNNNNNNNNNNNNNNNNNNNNNNNNNNNNNNNNNNNNNNNNNNNNNNNNNNNNNNNNNNNNNNNNNNNNNNNNNNNNNNNNNNNNNNNNNNNNNNNNNNNNNNNNNNNNNNNNNNNNNNNNNNNNNNNNNNNNNNNNNNNNNNNNNNNNNNNNNNNNNNNNNNNNNNNNNNNNNNNNNNNNNNNNNNNNNNNNNNNNNNNNNNNNNNNNNNNNNNNNNNNNNNNNNNNNNNNNNNNNNNNNNNNNNNNNNNNNNNNNNNNNNNNNNNNNNNNNNNNNNNNNNNNNNNNNNNNNNNNNNNNNNNNNNNNNNNNNNNNNNNNNNNNNNNNNNNNNNNNNNNNNNNNNNNNNNNNNNNNNNNNNNNNNNNNNNNNNNNNNNNNNNNNNNNNNNNNNNNNNNNNNNNNNNNNNNNNNNNNNNNNNNNNNNNNNNNNNNNNNNNNNNNNNNNNNNNNNNNNNNNNNNNNNNNNNNNNNNNNNNNNNNNNNNNNNNNNNNNNNNNNNNNNNNNNNNNNNNNNNNNNNNNNNNNNNNNNNNNNNNNNNNNNNNNNNNNNNNNNNNNNNNNNNNNNNNNNNNNNNNNNNNNNNNNNNNNNNNNNNNNNNNNNNNNNNNNNNNNNNNNNNNNNNNNNNNNNNNNNNNNNNNNNNNNNNNNNNNNNNNNNNNNNNNNNNNNNNNNNNNNNNNNNNNNNNNNNNNNNNNNNNNNNNNNNNNNNNNNNNNNNNNNNNNNNNNNNNNNNNNNNNNNNNNNNNNNNNNNNNNNNNNNNNNNNNNNNNNNNNNNNNNNNNNNNNNNNNNNNNNNNNNNNNNNNNNNNNNNNNNNNNNNNNNNNNNNNNNNNNNNNNNNNNNNNNNNNNNNNNNNNNNNNNNNNNNNNNNNNNNNNNNNNNNNNNNNNNNNNNNNNNNNNNNNNNNNNNNNNNNNNNNNNNNNNNNNNNNNNNNNNNNNNNNNNNNNNNNNNNNNNNNNNNNNNNNNNNNNNNNNNNNNNNNNNNNNNNNNNNNNNNNNNNNNNNNNNNNNNNNNNNNNNNNNNNNNNNNNNNNNNNNNNNNNNNNNNNNNNNNNNNNNNNNNNNNNNNNNNNNNNNNNNNNNNNNNNNNNNNNNNNNNNNNNNNNNNNNNNNNNNNNNNNNNNNNNNNNNNNNNNNNNNNNNNNNNNNNNNNNNNNNNNNNNNNNNNNNNNNNNNNNNNNNNNNNNNNNNNNNNNNNNNNNNNNNNNNNNNNNNNNNNNNNNNNNNNNNNNNNNNNNNNNNNNNNNNNNNNNNNNNNNNNNNNNNNNNNNNNNNNNNNNNNNNNNNNNNNNNNNNNNNNNNNNNNNNNNNNNNNNNNNNNNNNNNNNNNNNNNNNNNNNNNNUUGUGCGUGGAUCCCGUCGAGUACGACGGAUGCGUAGGGGUGCUAAUACCUUCCCUUCGCAUAACCGACUCCCGAUCCCAUUCUCUUUGGUCGCGAGACCAUGCUUUUUCCAAGUUUACUCUGAGCGUUUCCUUUCCCCCUUUUGGGAUAAAUAACGCACGGUGGCGGCUCUGUUGUUCUUCGUUUCCCGUCGGUUUUUCGCGUAAUGCGACACCCACGCAGAGAGUUGUUGGUUUUCCACCAUGUAUUCAGUAGUUACAAACCCUACUUUUAUCCCCUAGCAGAGGUAACCUUUGUGGUUCAUUCUGGUUGAUGGUGGAUUUUGUGGUCUUCUACCUAGUAUUCGGUAGUUGUAAAUCCUAUGUUGUUGUUGUAUCCCUAGAGGAGUCUGUGCUUUCUUGUGGAUAAUUGCCGUAUGCUAGCAAAUUUAUCCUCAGCCAGAGUUUUGGUCUUCUACCCCGUAUUCGGUAGUUGUAAAUCCUAAUUUCUCUCCUUUGCAGAGUUAACCCUGUUGUUCAUCCUAACCGAUGAUGGUUACUCUUUGUGGUUAUCUUCAUCCAGUAUUCGAUAUUGAUAUUCCCUCUUUCUUCUGGGUAAUUGCCGUAUGCUAGCAGUUGUAUCCCCAACAGAUCUUUCCUUGGAUAAUUGUCGGAUGCUUGCAAUUUAUCCCCGGUGAGUUCUCUUUCAUUUACCCUUUUCAUUGGUAAUGAUUGUUGCUCCCUUUGAUCGGUCAUCUUUAUAUACCUAGUUUUGGUAUCCCGAUGCCUUUCUUUUCGGUUGAUUUAUCCUUUAUUAACCCAGUAACCGGUUGUAGAUGAUCUUCCAUGCGAGUAUGUUAUCCACGUUCUGACGGUAAUUGAUAAUAUAUCUCAUGCACUCUUUAGUCGAAGCCUGUUGUGUUUCCCCAGUCGAGUAAGAUUCGUAUUCCUUUAUGAAAUCGAAUAUUUGAUAUGUCUCUUGGAUAAUUGCCGGAUGCUUGCAAUUUAUACCCUGUGAGUUAUCUCUCGUUUACCCUGUUGGUGUUGGUAACGAUUGUCUCUCUUUUCGGUCGGUCACCUAUUAUAUACCCAGUAACUGGUAUCCCUGGUGUUCCUUCCAUGCGAGUAUAUUGUCUACGUUCUAACGGUAAUAGAUAAUGUAUCUCAUGCGAGUAUACUAUCCACGUUCUGACGGUAAUGGAUAUUAUAUCUCAUGCGCUCUUUGGGUUUUUUCCCCAGCUGAGUAAGAUUCGUUUUCCCGUUGCGGAGUCGAAUGUCCAUCCUGUAAGUCGAUUUGCCUUUUUCAAGCCCUCCUUUCGGAUGAUGAGUGUUUGGCAUAUAUAGCCAUUCAUGCUUUGGUCGGUCACCUAUUAUAUACCCAGUAACCGUAUCCCUGGUGUUCUUCCUUUCCUGCUUCCUAUUAUGACCGCUUGGUCCCCUGUGGCGUCAGAUUUUUCUGAGUCCGAUGUUAACUUUUUUCAGUCCUUCUCUCAAGAUGUUGUUGAUUGGAUAUCUCUUCAAACCCUUAUACCGGUCUUAGAUAUUCAUUCUUCCUGAGCUUGUUGUUCUUUCACCCAGUAACCGGUGUUUAGAUCACAUGUCUCUUUGAGUUUGUUACCCAGUAGCUGGUAACACCUCAUCUUGCAAAUUUUUCUCCAGGAGAGUCUCUUUGUUAGACAUUCCCCAGGGGAGUUUUUCGUUGUGAUUUUGCCCUUGUGCUGUAUUGGCGUUUUCCCCAAUAUAUGCAGUUUUCACCGGUAGGGAGAUUCUGUGUGAAUCUUUUUCCCCAGUCCGAGUCCGGAUGUUCAUCCGAAGUAUCCUUUGUGGAUAGUUUGAGUCAGAUUGAGUCUUUCCAAUAGGAUGUGUCUUCAUUUGGAUUUCUUUUUUCCCCAGUUUGAGUCCUUUACUCCCCAGUGAGGUCUCUAGUCCAGUCGUGUCCUGUUCACGCCGCGUCAGUUUCCCCUAAUUCAGAAUCGUGUCCUGCUCACGCAUUCUUUUUCUUAUCCCCAUGAGAGUCCUGUUAGAGUCUCUGUUCCUGGUGAGUGUAUUACUCCGAUGGAUCGUCUUUUCUUUGUGGACCAGUAUUCCCCACAGAGGUUAUUUCUUUUGCAUGCAUACAUUUGCAUCAUGAGGUCUCUUAGGGACCAAAAUUUGUCUCAUUACUGUUAUUUAAGCCCAUUCUAUCGCGUCGAGAUGAAGAUUUUAACCUUCAUUUCUCCGGCUAGAAUGACCUUAAAUAGGGGCAUCUGUAAGACCCCAAUUUUGUCCCUAAGAUCCCUCAUGGCAUCAUAUCAUAACAUUGAAUUGCUUCAAGGAUCAUUGGACACCUUGCUUCCUUCCCUGUGGGUGGGUUAUCUUUUUUGAGAGUGAUUCUUGAUCACCAAGCAUGUUUGCAUUUGUAUAUCAUUGUUUUUAUUUUAAUCACUAACCAAAAAGUACAAAAAUAUGUCAUUAACCCUUUGUCUUGCAGAUGAAGCAAUAACAGGUAAAGGCAAUUAAAGGCAUUCAUUGAGCAAUAGAUGGUGGUCAUUCUUGAGAUUUGGGCCCCAUGAUCAUUCACAAGAGUUCAUAUGAGUUAUGAAGUCAUUUUGAAGCAAAAUCCCAAAUGGUAGAGGCUUGAAUCUCAUCAGAACAUUCUCUGAUCAUCUGAAGACCUAGAAAAUCAACGGCAAAAUCAACUGUGGAUUUGGAGGUGGGAAGUGAUUAGAAAUACUUCAUUCAUCUUCAAACAAGUCUCAUUUGACAUUUCAAACACUCACUUUGAAGAAUUUGAAGUCAGGUCAAGAAUUUCCAAAAAUAGCAAGUGACCUGUAAUUUGAACUUUCCAAAAAUGGAAAGGUUUUGGACCAACUUCAACUCAAUAUUACAUCAUCAAGAAAGCUUCAAAUGAAAUUUUGUUGAACAUGAAAGUUGUAGAUCUUUCUCUCCCAUUUCCAAAAUGUUCAAGAUCAUGAAUUUCUAAUGUGUGGUUGAGGAGAUAUGAUCAAAUCAUGGAAAAGUGUGCAUGGGACUUCAAAUGAGCAUAACUUUUCAACCAAAGCUCCGAAAUGAGUGGUUCUUUUUGCAAUAUUCUCCCCUUGACCUUUAAUUUCCUAAUCAUGCAUCACAUUACAUGAAUUGUCAUCACAUAAUCAUUUGUUAAUCCAUGGUUUUUUUUGGAGGGAAAUUACAAAAUUCAAAAUUUGUGCAUUGUAUGAACUUUUUGCCAUUGCCAUUGGUUUUAGAAAAUGAUUUUAAGUGAAAAUAAUAGAGCAAGAGCACUGUUCACGUGUAAAAUGAUACAUGCACAUGAAAAAUUUGAAUUUUUGUAAAUUGCCUUAUUAUCAUUAACCAAGUUAAUUAGGGAUUAGCAAGUUGAUUAGUAGAGCAUAUAUAACUCUAAAUCACUAACAGAAUUGAAAGGAAGGUAAUCCAUUAUUUCACAUUUUUUCUGAUACGAUUCUAAUACGUACUCACUCUACCACUUUCAAAUUUUUUCUCUCAUUUUCGAUUUAAUGUGGCAGAUAUGUAUCUUCCAAAAUAAGCACUUUAUGCUAGAUUUCGAUCUAUCAUAGCUUGUUCCUAGGCAUUCAAGAUUGAUAUAGGUAGUCUAUAUCGGACAAGAUCUUUAUGUAUGUAUUGGAGAAUUCUGUCUUCGCGGCAAGAGUUGGUGCAGGGAUUAGGCAUUCUCAUGAAGUUUGAAAAUUGGAACAUAGUCGAGAGAUUAAGCUGAGAUCACACGUGUGCCUAAGCUUUAACUUUUCUUUCGAGCCACAACAUCAUUUCAAGUCAUUGUACAGUUCUGGCUUUGGAUCCUAUCAUAGUUGCUGAGGAUGCUAUUCAAAAUCAAGAACUGCUCUUCAAGAGGUUCAGUUUUCGAAUCUCUUAAUUCUCAAAUUCAUGUAUAUAUUCUGGUAGAUCUUGUUCUCCUAAUGAUUCUGAUCUAAAAAUCGAGUGAAUUGGUGCAUUAUUGAGCAAGAUAUGAGUGUUUAAAGUUUUGCAUCCAAAAAUGUUUCUCAUUGAUUCUCUUAGAUCUUGAUGAUUUGUGCUUAAAUGUUUGUUGAUCUUUGUUCUCCAUUGCAAGAGCUUCAUGAUGAUGUAUUUGUUUCUGAGUUCUGGAAAAAAAAUUCUGGAAAAGUAUGAAGUUCGUGCACUGUUCAUCUUCUUCUUCAUGAAGAAGAUGAAGAUCUUCAGCUAUGCAUCGACCAUACAGCAAUGUUGCGUCGACCAUUCGACAGUUUUGAGUCGACCAUAGCUGGCCUUGCGUCGACUCCUCUCUGGUUAGGGUUUUCUGUGAAACGGCGUCGUUUCACCUUGGCGCCACUUUUUUUGAAUUUGUACAGGGUUCGAUCCCUGCUGAACGCUGAUUUUCAAAAUGCUUUCAUAUUUUCAUCUUUUCCCCUCCACUUUGCCAUGCUUUGAUUUUAAUUUUUCCUCCAAUUUAGAAAAAUCAUAAUAAAUUGAAAAAUGCACCAAUUCAUCUCCAAUUUUUUGCUACUUGCUCCUCUGUCUGUCUAUUAUUUUAUGAUCAUAAUUUCCAAAUUUGUGCACGGCUGGAUUUUAUUUGGUGCUAGGUUGAUUGAUCAUAUGUCUAAUUGUGACCUUGCCUUGCUUAUCUCAUUGUGAAAUGCUUGAUUUUAAUCAAAUGAACUUCAAAUUUUGCAUGCUGAUUCUAGACACAUUGCUGGACAUUUUGGUUUUGGUUUGACAUUUUUCUCAAUUACCAUUUCUGUUUUAUGCAUGUGCUAACUUAGUGUGACAAUUUGUGUCACACCUUUGAUUGUGCAACUUGUACAAUGUGAUUUUUUGUAUGUUGAUCAUGUUAGAUGUCUUGAAUGUGCAUGAUUUUUUCCAAAUUAUUUGAAUCAUUUCUGUUUUGAUUUGAAUUUUUCAUUCAUGAUGAUCACAUAUGAGCUUUGAAAUUGCCUUUGACUUCACUUGAUCAUGAAAUGCUUUUGGUGAUUGAUUUUGAUGUGAGCCUUUUUAGGACUUGUCAAUAUGUGUUCNAACACUUCAGCAGGCAGACCAUACAGCAAGUUGCGCCUAUUCGAGGACCUGGGAGUUGCGAUCAGUUUUGAUCGACCAUAGCUGGCUUGCGUCGACUCCUCUUGGUUAGGGUUUUCGUGUGAAACGGCGUCGUAUUCACUUAGGCGCCACUUUUUUUGAGAUUUGUACAGAGGGUUCGAUCCCUGCUGAACGCUUGAAUUUCAAAAUGCUUAUCAAUAUUUCAUCUUUUCCCAUCCACUUUGCCAAUGCUUUGAUUUUAAUUUUUCGCUCCAAUUUAGAAAAAAUCAUAAUAAAUUGAAAAUGCACCAAUUCAUCUCCAAUUUUUUGCGCUACUUGCCUCCUCGUCUGUUCUAUUAUUUUAUGAUUCAUAAUUUCCAAAUUGUGCACGCUGGGAUUUUAUUUGGUGCUAGGUGAUUGAUUCAUAUGUCUAUGUGUGACCUUGGCCAUUGCUUAUCUCAUUGUUGAAAUGCUUUGAAUUUAAUCAAUGAACUUCAAAUUUUGCAUAGCUGCAUUCUAGACACAUGCUGCAUUUUGUGGUUUGGUUUGACAUUUUCUCAAAUACCAAAUUUCUGUUUAUGCAUGUGCUAACUUAGUGUGAAAUUGGUGGUCACACCUUUGAUUGUGCAACAUUGUACCAAUGUGAUUUUUUUGCUAUUUUGAUCAAUGUUUAGAUGUCGUUGAAUGUGCAUGAUUUUUUUUCCAAAUUAUUUGAAUCAUUUCUGUUUGAUUUGAAUAUUUCAUCUUCAUUGUGAUCACAUAUGAGCUUUGAAAUUGCCUUUGACUUUACUUGAUCAUGUUAAAUGCUUUUGGUGAUUAGAUUUUGAUGUGAGCCUUUUUAGGCCUUGUCAAUAUAAUGUGUUAUCGAAAGCUUAACUAAUUGUUUAAAAAUUUCAGCUCCUGUUUGAAAUUUUUUUCUCUAUCUUUGACCCUAGGACUUUAGACCAUAGUGGUUGUGUUGGCUUACAUUUGAGUUCUGAUUUCAGGUUUAAGCAGGUUCAGUUCCAUAGUUGAUGAUGCUUCAUAGCAUUUGGAGUAUUGAUGUUUGCUUUUAGACCACUAACAUUUGUAGUGAUUUGUAGGUUGAUGCUAACUCAUUGAAGUUGCCUUUGGCUUACACUUUUGUACAUUGGAUUGUCUGCUUGCUUAUUGACUGUUGUCUGUAUUGAUCUGAGUAUUGCUUACUGAUUUGGUUUAUGUUUUCCACAAGGUACUAAGUUGGCUUUAAGUUCAUUUUGGAACUUUGCUUUGCCUUGGUUGUUAAACCACUUAGUAUAAUCCUAAUCUUCAGGUAGUCUAGAAGACCUACUGUUAUUGUAGGGCCACCUGUCUGAAGCCCUCUUAAGAGGCACAUGUUUUGUUAUGUUUUAAACUUUGUGCAAGCAGGGAAAAGUCCUCUUAUGAGAGCAUUGCAGAUAAAAAGAGAUGGUAAUCCAUCUCCUGCGUAACUUAGUGUUGUCAUUCAGCCUUGCUCACACCAUGUGUUGAUGCAUUUGAAUAAUAACCUCAAGAUCUUAUAGAGUCAAUCAUUUGUGGAGAAGAGUUCCUACUUUCUGAACUCCCACACCUUUCCAUUGAUCAAAGCUCUCCCCUGACCAGUGGAUAAGAGCUUAAUGAGAACACCCCUCAAUCUCCAUUUCAUCUGCUUCAACCCUUACCUCAAUGUAGGGUUAAGAGCUCAAAAUAACCCAUUACCAGUUUGGCUGGUACAAGCCUAUAACCUUGCCUAUGAGCCUAAUCUGAUUGUUAUAAUAGUGUGGUGCUAAUUGACUUGUUUGUUGGUUAGCUUGAUUCAUCUAGUCAUAUAUUUCUUUAAUGUGUGCGUUUGUAGGCAUUAUCAUCAUUACUGUAUAAUCAUUUCAUAAAUACAUUGUUCAUUGCUUUGUAGAACAUUUUUGUUUUGUCCAGUGAGGAGUCAAUUGUAAGUCCACUCAUUGGAGUUAUUUCCUAUGAUCUGGGGGAUUUGGAACUAAGACCAUUCAUUGGCAUUCCUUUCCUUGGAGUCCGAGUGUAGACAUUUAUUGGCAAACUUGUUUUCCUCUUGCUUAUUGCAUUUAUUGUUUGUUUCUUGUGAGAGAGUAUCAAUUGUAAGUCCAGCUAUUGGAAGUUGUUUCCUAUGAUCAUUCCUUGAGAAGAACUAGUAAUGAAGUCCAUUGAUUGGCAAUCUGGUAUCCAUGUUUAUCUCAUUCGUUUUAGCAGAGAUUGUGUAAGUCCAUGAUUGGCAUCAAGUAUCCAGUUUCUACUUUGUUUUAGGAGAUUGGUGUAAAGUCCAUUGAUUAGGCAAUCUGGUAUCCACAUGGUUUCUUUUUUGCUUUUAGGCAGAUUGUGUAAGUCCAUUUGAUUGCAUCUGGUAUAUGCCAAUUUUGUUUUGGUGAGAUUGAAUAAGUCCAUUGAUUGGCAUCUGGUAUCAACAUAGUUUGUAUUUGUUUAUAGGAAUUGGUGUAAUCCACUUGAUUGGCAAUCUGGUAUCCAUUUUUGUUUUAGGAGAUUGGUGUAAGUCCAGUGAUUGGCAUCGGUAUCCAUCUUUUAUUGGCUUGCCUGAUACAUAUUGUUUACCUAUUAUUUGCAUUUGUCUGCCUAUUCUAAAGGAAUCACUUGAAUCAUCUACAUAUGACUCUCAAGAGGCGAACAUCUAAGAAGUUUUGCAUCCCUUAACCUCCCCCUUUUGUUUCUUUUAAACUCCAUUUGCAUGUUAAUACAAAACUGAAAAAUAUUGUGCAAACAUUCUUCCAUUUAUUUUUUCAAAUUUUAGAAACUUAGCCUUAAGCCUCUGAUUUUUUCAAACUUCACUUUCAUAAUACUUCUUUUAAAAUUGAAUUCUUAAUCAAUAACUUUUGACCAUCUUUUUGUGAGAUAAUUCCUAAUUGGAUUAAUUUACACCACUCAAUUGUUUUGUGGCUUUGUCCAUUCUUGGAUAAGCUUUCAUACCAUUAGCCAUAGGUUUAUUUAUCCUACGUUGGUUGAUGUUAAUCUUCACUUUGUUCCUUAGGUGAUUGAAUUGUAGACUUCCUUGCUUAUUAUAGGGGUAAACCCCUCACUAGCAAAGUUGAAGCUUUCUCAGUGGUUGGGACUUGUUGUUUGUGAUUAAGGUUGAUUUUCUCCCGUGAUUAAGAAAGAUCUUAGGGCUUUUGUUUAAAUGAACCACUCAUAUUUUGGAAAUCUUUUAGCCGAACUACGGCGUUUUGAUCCUUACCUUCCAUGGAAGGUACGUAGGCAAACAGGUUCAUCCGUUCAACACAAAAAUAAUAACUUGUAUAUCCUUUUCUCAUCUCUUCAAUCAUGUUUGCACAAUAAUAUUUCAUAACAAAUACAUUUCUACAACAAGUGCGAAAAGUCCCGAGGUACCUAGGACGUUUUGGGUGCCUAACACCUUCCCAUUGCGUAAUAACCCCUUCCCAGAUCUCUGAUCUUUUCAUUAGUUUUCUAUGUGUAAAACUUCUGCUUAGGCUUUUGUUCGCUUUUUAGCCAUUCCUUUGGAUAAAUAAAAGUGCGGUGGCGACUCGAUUCUUUGUAUACUUUGCUUUUGAUUUAAUCAAUAAAUCAUAAAGUGACGAAUACACCGCUACAAUAAUAUGGUUGAACCUCAAAUAACUUUAAGAGAACUUGUUGCACUUGAUGUCACUAAUCAUGCAUUGUGUAUUGAAUAUCCUGAAUUGACUGUACCGUUUGAACUUAAAUCAGGUUUGAUACAGUUGUUGCCAAAGUUUAGUGGUCUUACAUGUGAGGAUCCUCAUAAGCACUUGAAGAAAUUCCACGUAGUAUGUUUUACACAAGUGAAGCCCGAGGGAGUCAUUGGAGAUCAUAUAAAGCUGAUAGCCUUUCCAUUCUCACUCCAAGGUGCUGUGAUAUAUUGGUUCUACUACCUUGAACAAAAUUAUGUUACAAGCUAGAAUGAUAUGAAGAAAGUGUACAUAGAAAUUUUUUCCUGCCUCAAUAGCUACUUCGAUCUGAAAAGAAAUAUGUGCCAUUAGGAAAUUUGACAAAGAAUCUUUGAAUGACUACUAAGAGAGAUUCAAGAAACUAGUCUAUAACUGUCCUCAACCCGAUUAGUGAUCAAAUACUCAUCCAAUAUAUCUACGAAGGUCUGCUACCUAUGGAUAGAAAUAUCUUAGAUAUUUCUAGUGGAUGAGCACUUGUUGAUAAGACCUCAGAAGCGAAAAAAGAUUUAAUUUAGAAUAUGUCACUUAAAUCUCAACAGUUCAUAAUAAGAAGUAAUUAAACGCUAUUGACAAUAUGAGUGAAUGAGAUUCAAGUUUUUUCUACUUCCAACAACAAUCUAGAAAAGACACUUGAUGAGCUUACUUCAUUGGUAAAAUAGUUAAAGUAGGCAAAGUGUAAAACCCUAAACCUCGAAACUUAUAUAAAAACAAUCACUCGACAAUUUAAGGUGUCACCUCAACAACCGACCAAUAAAACUUUCAAAAACAUUUAACAACAUGUAGCAGAAAUUAACAUAAUAACAACUUCAAAUUGAACCUCUCAAAUAAAGUAUUAAAAUUUAAAAUCACAAUUCGACACCAACUCAAAACAUGACAAAAGUGUCUCGUCCCCGAUGUUACAAGAUCAGAGCACUAAACCACUAAAAUACAAUAGCACGAUAAAUAAACAAAGGUAAGCUCCAAGAAGAUAUCUUUCACUUACAGAAACAAAACUCUACUCCUGGUUAUCUGCAAGAGAUCCAUGGUGGACCAUAUAAAGAAAAGGGAUGAGAAUAAACUUUGAUAUAAAAUGGCUUAAAGAAUGUGAGGGUAGAUAAACACAUAAUACAUCACACAUUCAAUGCAAAAACCACACCAUUACGAUUUCACACCUUUUCCAUCAUAAUAUAUCCAUAUGCAUGAAAUGUGACUCACGACAUCGACAGUAUGCAUGUGGUACCAAUCAACGAUGGUUCUUCAUACAAACCAAGUUCACCGUUUUAAACCUUAACUCCACCCUUCUCGACUCAGAACAAGUUAGUUGUCCACCCUUCUAGACUCGUAACUCGCGUCUUUCACAACAGUGAAACAAAUGAUGUAUGUCAUACAAUUUAUGCAACAAUAACAACAACAUGUUUAUGAUCCCCAUUCGAACCAUAUACAACAUGAAAUAUAGCAACAACGCAGUUUCCCCUUCGAAACUACCACCAUAAUAAACAACGAUUAUGUACUCUCCACAUAAUUAAUCAUCAAUAAUCAUAAUAAUUAGUCAACAAUUAAUCAUUUACUCAUUCGACAAUGUUUAGAGCAUAUCAAUUCCCGUCCUAACGCGUCAAAAUCAUAAAUCGAUAUUAAAUAAUUAUUGGUUUCAGAAACAAUAACGAAAUUUUGAAUCGACACGUCAAAAAUGACCGCCCAGACUAUGACGGUCUGUUCUAGAGCCAUGACAACUGUCAUGAGGAUGAUGACCAACCUGUCAUCCCUUUACUCCAUCCAUUACCACUUCCCCUCGCUUGUCAUCACACAAAAAGACCCUGGAGGUCGGUCCGUCAUUCCGCUGUUGGGCGUCAGCCUCCUUUAACACACAGACGUGUAGCCUUUCAUAUAGGUGACGGUUGUCACUGAUAAUUCACCAUUUAUGUUAGUUUUAAUGUCAUUUGAAUACCAAAAGCAGGUGAAUUGUUGUGAGUUUGGGCAAUAGUUAAGCUUAUUUUGGAAGAUUUUUAUCAUGAUUUGAUAAGCUAAAGUUUUAGUGAUUCAGAGUUAUUUUGCACGCUUGAGGUAGUGUUUCAUGUGUUAACAGGUCUGAAGAGUAAAUAGGAGCUUGAUCGGAGAAGAAAUCAUAAGAUAAUGCAUGAGCAGGAGAAAAAAAGAGAAAAUUGCACAUCUCCUGCCCAUACACAUAAGGGUUCUCAUAUGCGUAUGGCCACUCAGUCAGACCCCCUAGGAUAUGCGUAUCACUAGGUGUUGUACCCCAAAAUUUACCCCCCUUUUCAUCUUUACAUCCAACCACUUGACUUGGGGAUCAUUUGCAUUCAUUCAUAACUCAUUCAUAUGUAUCAUUCAUCCAUUAAUGGAUCACUAUAGAUUCAAAGCUCUUGGCUUGUGAAGCUAGGGUUUGUCUGUAGAUCAAACUUCCAAAGUAUGGCUUGGCUAUUCAUCAAAGCAUAGGGGAUGUGAAACCCUAAUUGUAUGAUUUUGGAGAUAUGGACUUAACAAGGUUCCAUCAAAGCACUCCUCAAGGGUUCCAAACCCUAGUUCUUGAUGAUAUGAUGAUGGGAUCCUAUGGGGCUUCUCUGGGCCUUGUCUUGGCUAUCAAAACCCUAAUGGGGGCUCAUAAAUUGGAGAACUUUCUUGUGAAGCAUCUUGAUUGAUUCAAAGGCCUUGUUUGAAGGGCACGCCUCAAUGAAACCCUAAUCAAGGAGGGUAUGGUUCUAAUGGGCCUUGUGGCUUGACUCUCCAUCUGGUGACAUCCAAAACCCUAAUUUCUUGAUCUUGGAAUCAAAAAACUUCAUUAUGGCAUACCUUGGGUCAUCUAAACCCUAAUGUGAUCUCAUUUUCAUUGGUGGGCCUUCUAACCCUAGUUACAGUUGUUGUGUGCUUCACUUAUCUUCUCAUUCAUGUCAUGGCCUUGGUUUUGGUUCCAUUCAUUUGGGCUUGAGUCUCUUGGUGCUAGCCCAAGAUCUUGACCUUACAAACCUCAUCUACUUCCAUUCAUUCAUCUGAUCAUGAUCAUGAUACCUUUGUUUAUACCAUGGUUUUGUUUUUGUCUUAGUACUUUUCAUUCCUUUGGCGUUGCUUAAGACUUUAUGGUUUUCUCGCAUGUGUCAUCUAUGGUUUUUGAUGAGAUUUUAUUCAAAGCCAUUUCAAGCAUGUACAAGCUCGUUCAUUAAGUCCAUUUUAUCACAUGAUCAUUCAAGUCCAAAUUCAAAUCAUUUCAAAUAACAUGUUCAUAUGAUAAAUCAAUUCAUUUUCAUUCAAUUGGUCAAUCCCAUUCAUUUAUUAUACACGAAUUAUUCAUUAUAUACAAAAUGCCAAAAAAUACAUGUGGACCAAAUGUUGACUUUGGUCAAUAGUUGACUUUUUGGUCAACUUUGACCAAAGUCAACUUAACUCUUUUUCCAUCCUAAACCCUAAUUUCUUUAACCCUAAUCCUAGUCCCAAGGUUUCCAUGUUGAUUCUUGAUGCACCAUUUGAUCUUUUGUUUCAAAUUCAACCUGGUGUCAUCUUUGGUUACAUGUCUUGUUUAACCAUUCACACCAUGGUCAUGACUAACAAAUACAUACAUUAACCAAGUUCUCAAAGCCAAUAUCCAUUCAUGAAGUUCCAAAUUCAACAUUUCUAAUGAAAGGUUACAAAACUCCCAUUUUACAAAUCAAGAUACAUGACAUAAUGAAACCAUCCAUAACCAUGCUAUUUGUAACCAUGGCAAAAGGUAAAUUACAUUCUAAGUACAUUUUAAGUUAAUAAUUCCUAAGCUAACAUCAGAACAAUCCAGCAUAAGAGCAUAAGAGCUUAAAUGGAGAGGGUUACACCAUGACACCAUUGCCACAUGAUUGGAAUUAAACCAAGGCAGAAUACUGCCCUUUAUGCAUCAUCAACAACAAGGUCCUUUCAUUAUCCGUUCCACCAUCCUGCAACACCAUGGGAAACCAGCAAAUGAAGGCAUCUCCAAUAGGAACAUAUCCAAAGCAGUAUCACACAUGGUCCCUGGGUUAGCAAUAGAUUGUCACCCGUGUUCAUUCAUACACCAGUCAGUAGCAGUAAAAGUCACAUACAAAAGAAAAGAAUCAGUCCAUGGCAGAGUUUGAAUACUGGAAUUUGAGCCAACCACCUCAUUGCAUGCAUUUCUUACACUUCAAGCAUAACAAACCAUCAGUCAAACCAAUGCAAGGAUCAGAAACCAAACUGAAGGCAAAGUUACACACAAACUGAACCUAACAUAGAAAUGUAUAACCAUGGAUCUAACAGACACAUGAUAGGAAGCAUGAGCAGGCCAAGAUAUUCACAUUAUAUUAAUGCAAUGGAGCAACAGUCAUCACAUACUGCAUCCAGUUUUCACAAGCCUACAAUCACUAACAUUGAACCAGGUCUAAACCAAAAUGGACAGAUUUGCACUUCUGGCUCCAUGACCAUUGCUACUGUAUGAUACCAACCAGUGAAGCAAAGGUUUUUUUUUAAAUUUGGUCUGUCAAAUGCAAGUGUUACCAUCAAAAUACAAGGCCAUUAAGUUGUAACAGGAACCAAGACCAUACACAUACACCUGUCAAAGUUGUAAUGGACUCAAGUAGACAUGCAAAAAUGGCAGUGGUGCAGAGCAAAAAAACCAAACAAGCAUACCAUACAUUUAUAAUAAUCUAACAUCAAAAUACCAACUAUAACAGGUGCACAACAAAAACCCACAACAGCAAUACGUAGCUCACAUCAUGCAUGGCAACAUUCAGCAACACAAAUCAUAUAGCACUUAACAACUUGCCUCACAACAUUGCAUCAUCAAGACAUCUAAUGUACAAGCUCCUUAUGGAAGACCUGUUAUGACCCUAUGACAAGCUGCAUAGCCAUGUCAUACCAAUCAUCAUUGUCAUGCCAAUCACAAUUAUGCAAUAACUUAAUUGAUAAAUGAGCACAAGCAGGCCAUGACAGAUUUGGAAAAGGAUCCACCUGCACCAACAACAAAGCCUACAACAAGGUAUCAAGUUCAGGCCUAGCCAAUCAACAAAAUGCAUUAGUGUACAACCAACUAACUAACCAAGCAAUAAUUGGCAGUUUCUCACUAAUUGGAAUUAAGUCUAACAGCUAACAAUAUUUUUAGUUAUGGCAACUCACCAAUCAAACACUUCUCCUCAAAGCCUAACUAACAAGUGAAUCCAACUAACUGCCCACUCAAUGAGUUAACAUAUUGAACUCACUGAGUUCAUCACAACUAACGCCUAAGCUGAUUCCAAACCUAAUCAUAACAAAAUCCUAAGGAAAGCUGACUUCAAACCUCACUCCUAUAUAAUUCAUUCUCCAUCACCAUUUUGAGGACAUUUGGAUUGAGCCACCAUAUUCUGCACUCUUUGAAUUUUCUCUUUCUCUCUCUAAACCUUACAUACACACACUGAUCAGAAGCCGUUGAAGCUAUUUAUCAGAGCUUCAAUUAGCUUGUGCUAAGCCUCCUCAUCAAUCCAAACUCCCUUAGUCCACCACUCUCGGAUUCAGAAGAAGGAGAAGAAGAGGAAUUCACAGCCAAUAUAGGAGUGAGUAGUUGAAACCAUUACCUGGAAGUAGACUCUUAUUCCUCACCAUUUCGGUAAGGCACCAUGAAGAACUUCUUAUUUUUAUUUAAUAAUCGUUACCACCGUGUAGAGUAUGAUGAGAGGGUUCAAAGCCCUUAUACCAAGGGCUUUGAAUCGCUGUAGUGGGGAUUUAAUUUGAAGAAGCAACAUUAGGGUUCUUGAGGUUCUUUGAUUCGGUUAGAGGUGUGGAGGAUUGUUUUCAUUGAAAUUAUUUAAGAAUCCAGUUAGUGUGCGAGAGGAUGGUCAUUUUGGUAGCUCCAACUUGCAUUUUGGUGGCCACCGCCGCCAAAAGCGUUUUCCAGCACAGUGGCCCGUGACAGAGGGCCGACGAGACAAAUGGAAGGGAAUGGCAUGUUUUAACCAUUUUAAAAUUUUGUUGACCCUGGUGGGUUGGGCUUGAGUCAUGUCCAAGCCCAAUGUUUUCAUAUCCACACCCUGUGUUUCAGUCCGCACCUCCCCCUGUACAGAGGACUAGAAUUCGGGCCUUAGGCCCCUUGGCCCAUUGCAUUUUUUUGUUACACAUACCAAAAUCCUGCUGUUUGAGUGGGCUUCUCUCAUGAAGCUCAUUUUGAUUCCUUCAUGCACCUCCAACUCAGGAAUAAUACCCCCUGACCCAUUCUUUUAUUGUAUAUUAUUUCCUCUUAACAUUUGUUUGGCAUUUAAUUGUUUUUAGCUUUUUUAAUUAGGUUCUAAUUAGGAUUAAUCUAGGUUAAUCAAGUUGAUUAGGUUAAUUAAGAUUUAGGGAAUAAUUGGAAUAUUAGGUUAAUUAGAAUUUUAGGAUUAAUAGAUUUUAGAAUUUUAAUUAGGAUUGUUAGAAUUAAUUAGAUAUUUUAGGAUUUAAUUGAAUGAGUUUUUAGAAUGCUACAACUAACUAGGUUUAAUUAGGAUUAAAUCUUGUUUGGUGUAGGAUAAUUGGUUUAAUUAUAAUUUUAGUUUUAUUAGACUUAGAUUUUGAUUAGGUUGAGAAUUUCUAGAAAAAAAUUGGAUUUAGUUAGAAUAGAUUUAAUUGAGUGUAUUUAGACUUUUCAUUGUUAGAUUUAAUUCAAAUAUCAAUAUUUUGUGGUAUGACCAUUUUUCCCCUUAGGGGUUUAUUUUGCUAUUUUUAGUCAUAUAAUUGCAUGAUCCCCUAGGAUUAAUUUUGACAUAGAAUUUUAAUCAAGUUUUUUGACUAACUAUUACAUGUUCCCUUAGGAUUAGCUUGUGAAUAAUUCUAACCAUUAGAUUAGGAUUAACCUAGUUCUCAAAAUCAAAUCAAAACCCUCGACUCAAGUUGAUCAAAAGUAAUUUUGAUCAACUAAAUCUUUUGACCUUGUAUAAACCCAUAGUCUAAUUGGAGUAGCCAAAAGACCCUUGGUCACUUCAUAAGACUUUCCCUGUCAGCUGUGGAGCUCGAAGCCUCAAGUUAGACUCUCAAUCAAGAUAUCCUCAGUCAUACUAAGCAACAAAUUAUAUAAGAUAAAUCAAAGGUCAACACUUGGUAAAUAUGAUUCAAAUUGAAUGAAACGAGCCUUAAGUAAUAAGGAAUGAUGAGACGGAGUUUCUCCUAUCCUUGUCUAGAGCGACUUUGCAUACGGGGCGUAGGCCCUAGCUAUUCAAAGCAUUUUCCCUUAUUCAUAGACUUUAGUGCAAUACGAAUCGAAUAAACUACUUAGUCUUCUUCAUACAAAGCAACAUCAACAUAAGGAGCAACAAUGAAGACUCUUCUCCAAUAACUUGUCAGUUAUGAGAAGUAUCAUGCGUCAUGAGCCUUAAGUAAUAAGGAAUGAUGAGACGAAGUUUCUCCUACCCUUGUCUAGAGUGACUUUGCGUAUGGGGCGUAAUCCCUAGCUAUUCAAAGCAUUCACCCUUAUUCAUAGACUUUAGUGUGAUUCUUAUCAAUCAACUAUCAUGUCUCUUCAUAUUCUAUUCAAUCAAUCAUCUUUUUUUGCUUCAUAAAUCAUCUUGCUUUCAGCCCUAGUAGGUUGAACUAUGAAAGCUCUGAUUUCCUUAUUACACUAUAAGGAUACGUAGGCAGGUGAAUCCAGAAUCUCUGCGAGCUACCUUAUUUAUUAUCCAUUCUUCAUUGAUUUAAUCAAUACCAUCUUUUUGAGAUUAAAUAUCACUUUUUCUUGGAUUUUAUUCACAUCCUUUUAAGACGACCUAAUCAUAGUCCGCCUUGUGAACCAAGAGUUGUUUGGCUUAUUGUCAUACAUUUAAUUCCUUUAUUUUUGGUUAUUACAAUAUAGUGAUACCAUGCCUCGGGCCCCUCAGUUGUUGGUUCAUACCAGUUUUACUCUUCGGUUCAGAGUUUAUUCCUUCAUGGAUCUAAGAUACCAUUCUCCUUUGAUUUCAAAUUGUUUAUUCCCCGACAAGUGAUAUAUUUUUCCUGGUGCCAAUCAAUACUUAAUUUUGGGUUCCAUACUCACCCUUUUAGGACGCCCUAAUCAAUGUCCACCUUUGUAUCAAGGGUUGUUUGGCUUAUUGACAUACAUUUAAUUAUCUUUGUUUUCGAUCAUUCCACUGUAGUGAUACCAUACCUCGGGCCCCUCACUUGUUGGUCUGUCUGUUACCCUUUGAUUCAAAGCCAAUUUGCCUUUAUGGAUUCCCAUGUUACCAUUCUAUUGGUACAAGUUACAUUAUUUAUCACUUUAAUCACACUCCUUUAGUUGUUUGUCUUGUCAGUCCUUGUUGCUUAGACGAACACUUCUUUGUUUCUUUCCUUUGUUUUCGUAGUUCCACGAACUACGAUUGCUCUGAUUUUCUCAUUGCACAGUGAGAAUACGUAGGCACGAGGAUGCGAAUUCUUGGCGAGCAUAAUUUUCAUUAUUCCUCCUCCCGCCUUAGGACACCAUCUGUAUCUUUCAUAAUCCAUUACCUACCUUAAAUAAUUAAACCGUUCACCUCAGUGACAUAUUAUUUCUUUGAAACCGAAAUACAAUUUUCUUUGGAAUUCCAUAUAUAUCCUUUUAGGACGCCUAAUGAAAAGUCCAUGUUUGUAUCUAGAGUUGUUUGGCUUGAACCCAAACAUUUAACUCCUUCUUUUUUAGCCCAACCAUGCAGUGAUACCAUGUCUUAGACCCAUCACUUGUGGUUUGUGCCACCUGUCAUAUAUGGUACAAAUUCCAUUUCUCCUAUGGAUUCCAAUACACCUUUACCUUUGGUUUCAAAGUAUACUUUUCCAGUCACUUGUGACCAAAAUAUUCGAUUAUGUGACUUUAGACACUUCAUUUCGUUCAUUUCCAUGAUACAUUCAUAUUUUACCUUUAUUCACUUCAUGUCAUAUAUUUUUACUUUGAGCCAAAUACGCUAUCCAUUUAAGCUCCAUCUUGUGUCCCCUUGUGAACCAAGAGUUGUUUGUGCUGUAAAACCAAACACUUAAUUCCUUUUUUUGUGGUUAUUCCAAUAUAGUGAUAUCAUGUCGUAGGCCCCUCACUUGUUAGUUCAUACCAGUUUUACUCUUGGGUUCAUAUUUCUUCCCUUUGUUGGAGUUCAAACGACAUUUUUCUUUGGUUCAAACCAUACCUUGUAUCACACUCUUCACCUGCCACCACUAGUUCUAUGAGCUACGGAGCUCUGAAUUCCUUAUUGCACUAUAAGGAUACGUAGACAUGAGGUCCCCAAUCCUCACCGAGAACUAUAUUUAUUACUUUCUUUUCCCUUUAUUCUUUCGUGAGUAAUCUUUAGAUAUCACACCUAUUCGAGCGAGAACAAUCAAAACGGUUCCCAUGGAGUACCAUGGAUGUAAGGGGUGAUAAUAUCUUCCCCUUGCAUAACGUAUUUCCUUACCCAUCAUAUCUCUUUCCCUCGGGUUUUAUCGAUGUUUCCCCUUUCCUUCGGGAAUAAAUAAUGUUCGAUGGCGACUCUGUUGUAUGUUCGAGCAUGCAAUAUGUUCAGGUAUGUUCCCGCUAGUUUCACUAGGAAAGGGGGAUUUUUCAAGCUUAUGCCCAUACGCGUAUGGGAUGGCCCAUACGCGUAUGAGGCCACUCAGCUAGGAACCCUCGUACGCGAUUACAGCCUUAUGCAUAUCGCUCCAGCUAGGCCAUAUGCCCUACCAUGGGCCAUACACAUAUGAGGUAGUGAAAAAAUGACCCAUACGCGUAUAGGUGAAGGACAUACGCAUAUGACACGACCCAUAAUUGAGAAAGCCAAGAGUUUGUCUAUUUAGCUGGAAAAACGUGAAUUUCCAAUGGUUGGACAAUUUUUGAGUAGAGAUAACGCGUUUUGAAAGCUGGAGCACUGAAGAAUUCAUGGUAGACCAACAGUUUCAUGAACUUUAGUGAUUGAAGACCUCUUUUCUUUCAUUAAUUUGUAAUGUCUAUACUAUCUGUUUUAUUUUUAUUUACUGUUAUAAGUAGCUAAACCCCCCAAUGCUAAGGGGUAUCCCUGAUUCAGAUUUAUGAUACGAUUCUAAUUUUUAACCUUGUAAUGACUUUGAUUUGAUGAUAUUUGAUUUACUUGCAAUUUGUACUUUAUGUUUUCUCUUUUGGACAAAUUGAGUUUGAUAUGUGGUUAAUUUUUUGGAUGGAUCUCCAUUGUUAACGCUUAAUUAUGAGUAACUCAUAGUAGAUAUCACCUAGGCCUAGGGAUACCAUGUGGAAACCGAAAUAUUCUUGAUUAAAAUAAUGCUUAAUUUCAUCUGUAAUUCACCAUGGACAUAUCGAUCAAUUUGAAUGAUUAAAGAUUUUUUCACUAAGGACUUAGGAGUAAACACCAUUAAGAACCGAUAAUUAGUAUUAUUGAAUUAAGUUGUUGCAAGGGCAAGUUAUUGUUGUUGAUGAAUCCAAUCAUACACAUCCCAUAGCAUGUUCACUCAUAAUAUCUUUUAAUUUGUUCAAUUGCUUUAUUUACUGUAUGUUUCAUUUUAAUUUCUAUUUUUCAAACCAACAAUCCAAAACCCCCAAAGCUUUUGUUUAACUAAUCUAGAACCAUAACUUUGUAUCGUUAAGCAGUCCUUAAGAUCGAUACUUGGGAAAAUUUCCCUUAUUACUACCUUGACAGUUGCUCACUUGAUCCAGUUUCCAAUUAAGAACCAAGCGCCUUACAUGAAUGAAGAUAACUUCCCUGAUUCUGCCGAGAUAGCACAAGCAUUGCACAUGAAGAAGGAUUUGAUUAAGUCCAGUCUCCAAGUUAAGGGUAACACCCAGGGCCUUCUGUCAAAGUUCUUGUUCGAGAAAGCCACUGUGUUUUCCAAUAGUGGGAGUUGGGACGCCUUCUAUGCUAGCUUUUCAUUACUCAUAUAUGGCCUGGUAUUAUUCCUGAGUAUCGAAGGUUUCAUUGGUAAAACCUCCAUCACCAUCUUCAUUUCCCAGAACCCAGUUCCUAUACUACUAAUUGAUGUUUUCUUCUCUUUCCAUUGAAGAAACAUGAAGAAGGAUGGAACUAUCAAUUGCUACAUUCCUUUACUUCACAAGUGGAUCAUGUCCCACUUGCCGAAGAGUAGACCAUUUGUUGAUAACAUGGACGCGUUGAAGUGGUCACAAAGGUUGAUGUCAUUGGAUGCUGAAGAUGUCAUCUGGUACAUCCAUGAUCAUAUGAGGGUAGAACUUAUCUUCCAUUGUGGGGAAUUUCCAAAUGUUCCACUCAUCAUUACUAAAUGGGGUUUGAUCAACUAUAACCCUGUUCUCUCACUGCAUCGGUUAGGGUAUCCACUAAGGGAAAAUCCUAAAGACCCACAAUUAGGAGAACUACUUUUAGCUGAAGGAGUCGAGAAUCCGGAUUUGAUGAAGAAAGUGCGCAGAGCCUGGGGUAAGAUACAUCAUAUUGGGAAGAAAGAAUUGGGCAAACAGACGUGUACCACAACAGUACUAUAUUCUACUUGGGUGAAGUCAAGAGCUAAGAUGAUUAAGUUAUCGUAUCGAUGGGAACCCUCUAUGAGUAUCAAGACUAUUGAACCACUUGUUGCUACCAUUUUAGAAGUGGGUCGUCGCAAAGAGACUAUCAGGAAGUUGGAGAAAGAGAACGCCAACCUCCGGUCCAGUCUGGGAAAAGUCACCUCAGAAAGGGAUGCUUUAAAAACCAACCUCAGUCAGAAGAGAGAGUGAUUCAACAAAGCAGACACCGAAAUUUAGAUUAAGCAGAAUAAAAGAAGAAAGGUGGGGGAGCCUUGAAGGGAACUUUUGAGACCCUUGCAACCAACAAGAAACAAUUAGAUGAAGCCCAAUACUGCACAUGCAAAUUGGAGAUUGAUUACCAAAACCAGAUCAAGAAUCUGCAAGACCAGUUAGAGAAGUGUCAGAAUGGGUUGAAGGAAGAUUAAAGUCGUACCAAGAAGCUAGAAGUAACUCUUUCACAACACCAGAGCGAUCUCGAUAAAAUGUUUGAGGAGAUUCGAGAACUGAAGGGUCAAGCACAUCGAAGUUUGGAAGAUAGGAACCAGUUGAAGGAUGAAGUUACUCAGUGGGAGAUCCGCAGUCGUCACCUGCAGGUUCUCCUGGAUCAUAAGGAGGCGUUUGUACACGAUCUCUUAAGUGGACCUAAUCAUUCCCUAUUGUACAACCUUGUCAAGGAUGCACAGUACUGGAAUGACAUACAUGCACGCCUGAUCAAGUUUGUCGACCAUGCGCUUGAGGACCUUCCUGGAUUGCUGAAGAAGGCAUAUGCUGACAUGUUCCCUCACAACACUCCAUGGGCUGUUUUGCAUUUUGUAUCAGUGUGUAGGGUUGUAUUUGAAAGGAUCGAAGUUGAUCUUCUUGUAGUUCAUUGAAUAGAUUUUGAGUUGUAAUGAUUUGUACUAUUGAUUCUUCAAAUGAAUAAAAGAUAUUUUUAUUGAAAUACUUCUGUUGUCUUACUCCUACCCACUGUAUGACUAUAUAUGCACACUAACACACUCGCACCCUAGAAAUCUUUUUCUUUUUUGCUUGCAUGCAUCUACACAUUCAUACACUCAUUACAUUUUUCUAAAAAGAAAAAAAAAUGCUUAUCAUAUCCAUCUUUUCACAACAACUAUGACGACUCGUCAUCGCUACUAUACUUAUGCAAACAAAUCCAAAAUCAUGGUUGAUUACGAAUUUGAUAACGCUUCUGUCAGGGAAUCUCUUGCUCAGGUCGAAGGUGAGAUGCACCUCUUCAGGGGCAACAUGGAGACCAUCCUGGAAAUUCUCCAAACUCAGAGGGCUUUUACCUCUACCAACCCUGUUGUUGCCAAUGUCUCCCAUGUUACUGGGGUGACCAAUGCUACUGCUGAUGUUGCUGCUGCCGUCGAAACUCCUAUGGAGACCGUAGCACCAACUAUUGUGAAUCAUCAAUUGGUUCCUGUAAGACCCCAAUUUUGUCCCUAAGAUCCCUCAUGGCAUCAUAGCAUUGCAUUGCAUAGCCUCAAGGAUCACUGAGCAUCUUGGUUUCCUUUCCAUUUGGGUAGGAAUCUCUUGUGAGUGGUUUGAGAUCACCAGGCAUGCUUGAAUUGUAUAUCAUUGCUUUUCUUGUUUUAUUCACUAACCAAAAGCAUAAAAAUAUGUCAUUAACAUUUUGUUUUGCAGCUUAAGCAAUCAUCAGGUCAAGAGCUUCAAGGAUUUCCUUUGUGCAAGAGAUGAGAUAUUUUUCUUGAGAUGAGGACCACAUGAUCAUUAUAAGGAGCUUACAUGAGCCAGGGUUUCAUUUUGGAGCAAUUUUCCCGAGUGGUAGAGGCUCAAAUUCAUCAAAGCAUGUCAAGGUCAUUUGAGGACCAACAAAGUCAACUAUGCAGUCAACUGAGGGAUUUGAGGCGGGGAAUUGAAUUGAGACACCUCAAUCAUGUUCAAACAAGGUCUAUUUGUCAUUUUAAUCAUCCAUCUUGAAGAUUUAAAAGUCAUGGCAAAAGUUACUAAAAAUGGAAAGUGACAUGUAAUUCAAAGUUUCCAAAAAUGGCAAGUUUCUAGUCCACAUUCAACUUGACUUAUCAACAUCAAAGAAGUUUCAAAUGGAUUUUUGUUGAACAUGAAAGUUGAAGAACUUUGUCUCACCUUUCCAAAAAAUUCUAAUUCAUGUUCAUAUGAUGAUUGGUUGAGAAGUUAUGGUCAAAUGAUCACAAACUAUACAUGGGAAUUCAAAAUGGCCUAACUUUUGAUACAAAGCUCCAAUUUGGUCCAUUCUUUUUGCAAAUUGCUCCUCAUGACCAAUACUUUUCAAAUGAACCAUUGCCAUGAAUGGGAGAAGUUUGUAUGCUCACUAUUUCAUUCAUGUUCAUUUUGGAGGGAAUUUCUACAAUUUAAAGUUGGCUUAUGGUACAAGCAAUUUAAUCAUUCCAUCAUGACCAUGGGAUGAUUUUAAGUGGAUUCAAACCCUUGCAUGAGAAAGAGCAAGUGCUACAUGGCCAUGCUAGCUCCAUUUGCAAUUUUGCAAGUAACUUGAAAUCUCUCUAAUCAUGAUUAGCACAAGCCUAAUUUGGAUUUCAGUGUCAUUAGUGCACCAUAUAAAAGCCAAACCCUAACCAUAAUUCAAAAAUAACAGAAUUUUCAGAUCCAAAUUCAAGAAUUUCCCUCCAUUUUUCUCUCUCUUCGAAAUUCAAUUUUCUCCAUACAAACACCAAAUCUCUUUGCAUAUUCUUGCUCCUGGUGUAAUUCUGAGCAAGAAUCAUCAUCUGGAUUGUUCAAUUGAGCUGGAUUUCGAGUAGAUCAAGUGCAUGAACAUGGAAAUGGAUUUCUGAAAUUGAGCUAGAUCUAGGUGUUUUCAUCCACUUCCUUUUGCACAAAGCUUCAAGAGGAGUAAAGUAGAGUAGAUAUGGAGCUGUAGAGGCAUUGAACACGCGUGAAUAGUGAACUGCAUUUCAAUUAAGUUGAAAAUCAAUCCUCUCUUUUUGCUGAUUUUUUGUUAUAAUUGUGUAGAUCUCACUUAGUAGAGCAUGCUGAUAUGUUUAGAUCUUGAUUUGGCUUAGAAUUGAGGUUGUAUGAUGAAAUGUAAAUUUUAAGCAUGAAAAUAUUUUCGUUCGAUCCGUGCAAUUCAUGAUGAUUUAGAUGAAAUUGACAUGAUAUUUGGAUUCCUGGUGAGAAACUGAGUCGAAUGAUGUACGAAUCUUGCAUUUCCGGAAAUUUUUUGGAAGCUCCGCCGUGUGUGUGGCCGGAGAAGACGACCGGAGCUUAGCUCUGGCGUCUCUGCAACUUGCUAGGGUUUUGCUGAUGUAUUGUCCACAUAUGCGCUUGCAUGUUCAAUCCGUUGGCUGUGAUUCAUUUGACCGUUCCACCCGAGCUUUGACUCGCCGAUGUAUGCUGAUGACACAUUAAUGAAAUGAUGCGUUUCAUUUAGCUUGUGUGGCUGCUGACUGGCUCAUUGCAUGUCCGUUCCAUUGGCUGUGAUUCGUUUGACCUGCUUGCGUGUGCUUUGACCUGAUGAUGUGUGCAUGCUGACUGUUUAGUGAAGCUGUGCGUUUUGGCUUUCAAAUUUGGCCCAUUGAUGUGGAUUUCGCGCCUCAUCUGAUGGCUGAGAUUAAUUCUGUUUAAUUUGAAAUAUUUGUUUUCCCUUCAUAUUUCUUUUGCAUUUCCAUUAUUUUGUUCAUCUUUGAAAAAUCAUUAAAAAUAGUAAAAUGCUCCAAAUUAACUCCAAUUGUUUUUCAUAGAUUUGUUUUGAUGUCUAGUUUUUUAUAGGAUUAUUUUCAUGAAUUGUUGUUUGCUGGAUUUUUAUUUUGUGAAUUUUUGAUUGAACCUUGUGUUAAUUUGACAUGUUGCAUUCAAUGCUUUGUGAAAUCUCCAUCUUUAGGCCAAUUGAUCUGUUUUUUUGUAUGCUUGAUCUUCACUCAUGAUAUGAUUUUUGGUAAUUGGUUUGGAAUUUUUCUCAUAUGCUAUCACUGUUUUUGACACAUGAAGAUGUAUGUGACAAUUUGUGUCACAUUUUGGACAUUGCAUUUGUGCAUUUUUGUUCACCUAUCAUUUGAACUCUUCUGGAUUUGAUUUUUUGCAUGUUGUUUGUUCAUUACAUGAGAGACUUGCAUAAAAAUUUCAUAGCCAUUGCAUGCAUUUUUGUUUUGAUUUGGAUUUUCUAAUUUGGAAGUUCACUUUGUGCACAUUUGCUUGCCUUUGCUUUACAUUGAUCAUUUGAUGCCUUUGCUUUUUGAAUUGAUGCUGGUCCUUUUGAGGACAUUUUAUGACAUGUUUGAACUUGCUUUAUGUGAAACAUUAGGUUCUAUUUUGAUCAUUUGGUUUGGUUUCGGACCUAGUCUUUGUACUAGUGUUUUGUACAUGAACUAACCUUGACUUGUGUUUCAGGUUUGCUGUGAAUCGUAAUUACCAACUCAACGAGUGGAAAACUCUACGUAAUUGGAUUGUGUUCUGACUUCUUUGUGUUUUGUAGGGAUUUAAGUUGAUGUGUUGAGCUCAUUGCUUCAUCUGAUUGCUUGAGCAUUGUUCAUUGAGUUGUGUACAGUUGGAUGGUUUCACUGUUUGUUUUCUGAUUUUUAUGUCUGAAAUACUAAUUGGUUAGCCUUUGUACAGGUACCUUAGUUGCUUGCUUUUAGCUCUUGCUUGAGCUUUGGAUUGUGGUUGAUACACCACUUAGGUAGCUAUUCUCUUACUUCAUGUAGUCUAGAAGUCCUGUCACCUUUUUGGCAGGCAUUUUGCUGGAAGUCCUCCUUAAGAGGCUCUGUUUGUGUUUGUUUACAGAUUGUGCCAAAGACCUCCCAGAUGAGGCAUGUGUUACUUGAUAAGUCCUCCUAAGUGAAGAGGCAAUUGACGGAUAAAAGGGAUUAGCAAUCAAUCCCCCGUUAUUCAGUGAGUCGUUCUUUAUGCUCGCACUACGUGCUGAUGCUCUAGAACAUGUACCCAAGAUCUAUGUCCAGUGUCUGUCAAGUGGAAUAGGGUCCCUCUUUCUGGAUCCCCACGCUUUCUUUGUCAUAAGCUCACCCAGGCCAGGGUUAAGAGCAUGAGGUCUCAUCCUCAUUUCCAUUUUGAUCAGCUUCACCCUAACUCUCAUUCUGGAUCCCCACGCUUUCUUUGUCAUAAGCUCACCCAGGCCAGGGUUAAGAGCAUGAGGUCUCAUCCUCAUUUCCAUUUUGAUCAGCUUCACCCUAACUCUCAAUGUUAGUGGUUAAGAGCUACAUAUUACACUUGUACAGUUUGGCUUGUUUGUUGAGGUUGAUAUGACCCCUCUUGACUAAAGCCCACCCAUUUGUUUGAGCCUCUUGUAUGUAUAUAGUGUGUGAUGCAUUGUUUGCUUGUUUGCUUUUGAUGUGUUUACUCUUGAUGUUUGUUUGUUGUUAGGAGUCGGAUCUAAGUCCAUAUAUUGGCAUUCUGUUUCCUUUUUGUUGUUAGGAGUCGGAUCUAAGUCCAUAUAUCGGCAUUCUGUUUCCUUUUUGUUGUUGGAGUUGGAUGUAAGUCCAUAUAUUGGCAUUCUGUUUCCUUUUUGUUGUUAGGAGUCGGAUCUAAGUCCACAUAUUGGCAUUCUGUUUCAUUUUUGUUGUUAGGAGUCAGAUCUAAGUCCAUAUAUUGGCAUUCUGUUUCCUUUUUGUGGUUGGAGUUGGAUGUAAGUCCAUAUAUUGGCAUUCUGUUUCCUUUUUGUGGUUGGAGUUGGAAGUAAGUCCAUAUAUUGGCAUUCUGUUUCCUUUUUGUUGUUAGGAGUUGGAUGUAAGCCCAUAUAUUGGCAUUCUGUUUCCUUUUUGUUGUUAGGAGUUGGAUGUAAGUCCAUGUAUUGGCAUUCUGUUUCCUUUUAUUGUAGAUCUCUUAUGAGACUUGUGUGUUUGCUUUUGCUUUGUGCUCGCUUAUUCCAAAGGAACUUACUUGGAUCAUCUCUAUGAUCUCAAGAGAGGAACUCCUAUUGUGGUUUCAUUCCUUAACCCUCACCUUUUGUUAACCAUCCUUCCAUCCUAAACCAAAACUUUUUGUGCAAACAUUUCACUUGUUUUCAACAUUAGAAACCUAAGCCUUAUGCUUUUGAUUUUCAAACUUUCUUUUGAUAAUACUCAUUUUGAAUUGAAUCUUUAAGUCAACUUUGACCUUUUUGUACAUACUUCUAAUUGGUAAAUGUAACCCAUUCAAACUUCUUUUGUGGUUCCAGUGUCCACUUCUUAAUCAAAAUUUUCAUAACCUUUAGCUAUUAGGUUUGAGUUAUCUUUGUGGUAGAUGUAAUACUCACCUUUGUCCUUAGUGAUGGACAAUGAGCCUUCCAUGCUUAUUAUAGGGUUAACCCUCACUAGCAUGUUGAAGCUAUCCUCACAUGGUGGACUUGUGGUUUUUUAGGUUGAGUUUUCUCCCUUUGAUAACAAAAGAUCUUAAGGCUUUUGGACCAAUCAAUCCACUCAUUUGUUUGAAAUCUUUUACCCGAACUACGAGGUUUUGAUCCUAAUCUUUCAUAAGAGGGUACGUAGGCAAUGGGUUUAUCCAUCCAAACAUAAAAUGUAAAUAAACUUGUAUAUUCUUUUCUCAUCUCUUCAAUCAUGUUGCACAAAAUAAUUUCACAAAACAAUAACCUUUGCAACAAGCGUGAAAAGGGAUCCCUAGGAGUACCUAGGAUGCUUGGGUGCCUAACACCUUCCAUUGCAUAACCAACCCCCUUACCCAGAUCUAUGUUUCUUUUACUAUUUUUGUUUGUAAAAACUUUUUAGUUUUUGGUUUUUUGUUCGCUUUCUAACCAUUCCUUUGGAUAAAUAGAAGUGCGGUGGCGACUCGACUUUGUAUGAUUUACCUUGGAUUUAGUCAAUAUCUCCAAUGGUAACAAAUACACCGCUACAGUUCCUUCUGAUAUGAAUAGGAUUGUUGCUGCCUAUGUGCAGACUGGGGCGCCUCAGGCCCCUAAUGCUCAAGCUAGAGGGAAAUUCCCUCAUAUGGUGCAUGCUGCUUCCCAAACAUGGCCUCCCGGUUUCUCUUACCCGCCGUAGAUGCUGUUUGCUCCUCAAAGUGCGCUUGUUUAGGCGAUGGCUCAAGACACUUCUUGACCAGCUAGUCAGAUCGUCAUCCCCGCUGCUAGUCCAGCCUGGUCAACGGAUUAUCAGUUGUUGGACGACAAAAUAAGGGCUAUCAAAGGUUUAUUUUCCUUCGGCAUCGACACACGAGAUCUUUGUUUGGUUCCAAACGUGGUACUUCCACAGAAGUUCACGGUACCAGACCUACCAAAGUAUAAAGGGUUAAGUUGUCCUUGAAGUCACAUUAUGAUGUACUACAGGAAAAUGGCAUCGUACAUUGACAACGACGAUUUGCUAAUCCACUGCUUCCAGAAUAGUCUGUCAGGAGCUUCUUUGGACUGGUAUAUGGGUUUAGAACACACUAAUAUCAGAUCCUGGAGAGAUCUAUCUGAAGCGUUCCUAAAGAAAUACACGUACAACCUCGAUAUGGCACCGACAAGAUUGCAACUAUAGAAUCAGACACAGAAAUCCAGUGAGACUUUUAAGGAGUAUGCUCAACAUUGGCGUGAGUUGGCUUUUAGGGUUAGACCGACUUUAUCAGAUAAUGAAAUCGUUGACAUAUUCAUGGGUACUCUUCAUGGGCUGUAUUUUGAGAAAAUGAUCGGCAGUUCUUCUACUAACUUCAUAGGCAUGGUGACUAUUAGUGAACGUGUCGAGAAUAGGGUUAAAUUAGGAAAGAUCGUAGGUACCAUCGCUCAUCAUACUACAAAUAAGAAUCCGCAUGGGGGCUUUACAAAAAAGAAAGAAAUGGAGACAAGUGCUGUAACGCUAAAUGUCCACCCCCAAUAUCAAUUUCCUAUGGCUCCCAUGCCAUAUCAUCCGUAUCCUUUGUGUGGCCGCCGCUCAGUAUCAACAACUUCCAUGUCAGUAUCAACCAUAUAAUCGCAAUCAGCAACCAACAUCGGCUCAAAAUGCUCAGAAUCAAUAGAACACUCGUGACUAUAAGGGAUAGGGUCAAGGGCAGAAUAACAUAGGUAACUAUGGUAGACACACCCAAUAUGACAAGAUUCCAGUACCAUAUGCUGGCCUGGUACCGCAUUUGAUCCAUGUGGGGGCUAUUAUACCAAAAGAAAUCCCUCAGGCUAUACCGUGCUAUCAUCCUAAGCAUAACCCCAAUGCCUCAUGUGCCUAUCAUGUUGGGUAGAUACGACAUUCAACAAAAGACUAUUGGCCCCUCAGAAAUAAAAUCCAAGAGUUGAUUAAUCAGAAGGUCUUGACUUUCUCAGAAGAAAAUCCUAAUGUGAAAACAAACCCUCUGCCUAAUCAUGGUAGCACAAUAGUCAGUGUUGUUAUUGAGGAGGAAAUUGUAGAAUCUGUAAAGAGGGUUGGUGAUAUGAAGACUCCAAUGUCAGUUGUGUUGAAGAAUCUUGAACAUUUUGGGUUCCUAGUUGGUAUACACGAAGAUUGUGUUGUAUGUGAGUCUGAUCCAAACAUUUGUAAUGACCUGAAGGGAUGUGUGCAAGAACUGAUGAAUCAAGGGAUGAUACAGUUCUCCAGAUCUAAGGAAAUUGAAGAGAUUGUAGUGAUCGAGCAUAUAAAUAUUAUGUACAGGAAGAAGAAGGUUGAACCUCCUCCCAAGAGGAUUCAGCCGAUCCAUAUUCGUAUUCCUGGCCCGUUCCCGUAUCAGAACACCAAGGCAGUGCCUUGGAAGUAUGAAACAAUGACAUACGUGGGCGAAAAAGAGAUUUAAAUCCCUGACAUUGAAAUUAUUAAUAUAACUGGAACGGGAUGCACGACUCAUAGUGGCCAUGUAUUUUCUCCAAAAUACACUCAUAGGGUGUCUCCAUCACCCACAGUUAUCCCGCCUAAGGAGAAGGUCCUUCCUACUCCUCAUCCGCAGGCAGGGGAAUAUGUACCUUCCACUUAAACCAUGACAAUUGUUCCAGUACCAACAAAGAUGAUUGUUGAUAAGACUGUAUAAUCUGAAAUGUCUAAGGGUAAAGGGCCGAUGAUUGAAGACGAACAGGUUGAAGAUCACAAGAAAAAUAUCACUUUUGAGGAAGGCCAAGAAUUCCUCAAAUUGAUCAAGAAGAGUGACUUUAAGAUUGUUGAUCAGUCGGGUCAAACCCCUUCCAAAAUAUCCAUAUUGUCUUUACUUCUGAGUUCUGAGGCUCACCGUAAAGUGUUAUUGAAAGUCUUAAAUACUGCUCAUGUGAUUCAGGAUAUCACAGUCAAUUAGUUUGACAACGUGGUUGCAAAUAUCACCGCCAACAAAUAUUUAGGAUUUAAUGAAGCAUAAUUACCUCCUGAGGGAAACGCCCACAAUAAAGCAUUACAUAUUUCAGUCAUGUGUACAAACUCUUUUCUAUCUCGAGUUCUCGUCGAUAUUGGUUCUUCGCUUAAUGUAAUGCCAAAAGCUACAUUGAGUCAAUUACAAUUUAAGGGCCCCGAGAUGAGAACUAGUGCACUGAUUGUUUGAGAUUUUGAUGGCUCUUGAAGGAAGGUUAUUGGGUAAGUGGAUCUACCUAUUUGUGUUGGACCUCACCAAUUCAGUAUCACCUUCCAAGUCAUGGACAUCAACCCAACCUACAGUUGUUUAUUGGAUGGACUGUGAAUUCAUGCUGCUGGGGCAGUCACUUCUACACUGCACCAAAGGUUGAAAUUCUUGAUUGACGACAAGUUGGUAAUAGUAUAUGGUGAAGAAGACCUGUUGGUUAGUGAACUUUCUUCGUUCAGAUAUGUCGAGACAGAUGAAGGGGUUGUUGAGAUUCCGCUCCACUGUUUAGAGUUUGAAGAGGUUAGUUUAGCUACUGCUAAUCAUGAUCAGUCAUCUGCUACCAUCCUAUCUUUAGUCAGAAGCACCAAGAAAACUUUGGAGAAAGGGACAUUAUCCGGUUGGGGUAAAGUUGUCAAUAUGGUAGAGAAGCGUGACCGAUUUGGUAUUGGCUAUCGUUCGUUAGCUCACAAGGCAAACCCAAAGAAGAAGCAGUUCAACCCGGUCAAAUUCAGUAGCGCAGGCUUCCAAGGCGAUCAUACCAUGGUAGUCAUUGGAGAAUCGAGUGGCAGAAAAUCGGAGACUUCCAGUCUUGUACGCAAAUGUCCUCUAGGAUUCAAGCUCACCAACUGGAUAACUUCUGUGAUUCCUAUAGUGUAUUCAGAGAAAAUGUAAUGCAUUUUGUUUUCUUAAUCCCUUGCUUUCUCCCGUGACAAGAUGAUAUCUUGUAAGGUCCUCCAUGUUUAAAAGUAUUAUGUGAUUAAAUAAAGAAAGUACUUUUUGCAUGCAAAGUUUGUGUUCCUUUUCUUUAAGUUAUUUUUACUUUUUCACAAAAACGAAAUGACAAAAGUUUCUUUUUCUUUUUCCACUUUAUUAACCAAGUUGAAGAUGAUAGUGAGGAAGAUUAUGAAUUAUCGGCUGAACUAGCACGGCUCCUUGAGCACAAAGAAAAAGAGAUUCAGCCAUAUAAAGAACCAAUAGAUGUCAUUAAUUUGGGUUCUAAAACCGAUAAAAAAGAAGUAAAGAUUGGGGCAUCUCUUGCCAAACAUGUACACUCCGAGUUGGUCAAGUUAUUACAUGAAUAUGUUGAUGUCUUCGCUUGGUCAUAUCAAGAUAUUCCAGGGUUAGACACCAACAUCAUUGAACAUCACUUACCACUCAAGCCUGAUUGUCCUCCCGUCAAGCAAAAGCUUAGAAGGACCAGACCCGACAUGGCACUCAAGAUCAGAGAAGAGGUUAAGAAACAGUUUGAUGCUGGCUUUUUAGCUAUUUUUGAGUAUCCACAGUGGGUUGCUAAUAUCGUUCCAGUUCCGAAGAAGGACGACAAAGUCAGAAUGUGUGUAGAUUACCGAUACCUCAAUAAAGCGAGCCCAAAGGAUGAUUUCCCUUUGCCUAAUAUUGAUGUUUUGGUUGAUAAUACAACUCAAUUUUCCGUAUUUUCCUUCAUGGAUGGUUUCUCAGGGUAUAAUCAGAUAAAGAUGUCGCUAGAUGAUAUGGAGAAGAUAACCUUAAUCACACCUUGGGGAACUUACUUCUACAAAGUAAUGUCGUUCGACUUGAAUAAUGCAGGGGCAACAUAUCAACGUGCCAUGGUAACCAUCUUUCAUGAUAUGAUUCAUGAAGAGAUUGAGGUUUAUGUGGACGACAUGAUUGCCAAAUCUAGAACUGAAGAAGAUCACUUAGAAAACUUGAGGAAGUUGUUUGCCAGGCUUCGAAAGUUCAAGUUGCGUCUGAAUCCAGCAAAGUGCACUUUUGGGGUCCGAUCUGGUAAGCUAUUGGGUUUCAUAGUCAGUCAAAAAGGUAUUGAGGUUGAUCCCGACAAAGUUCAAGCCAUCCAAGAUAUGCCACCUCCCUGAACAUAAAAAGAAGUCGGAGGUUUCCUUGGUCGACUCAAUUACACUUCCAGAUUCAUAUCACAUUUGAUAGCUACCUGCGAACCGAUAUUCAAAUUAUCGAGGAAGAAUCAAUUAAUUGUGUGGAAUGACGAUUGUCAAAUAGCAUUUGAUAAAAUAAAAAAGUACUUGCAAUAACCACCAAUCCUCAUACCACCGGUUCCUAGUAGGCCUCUUAUUAUGUACCUCACGGUACUUGAUAAAUCCAUGGGAUGCGUUUUGGGUUAGCACGAUGAUACAGGCAAGAAAGAACAUGCAAUAUACUACCUUAGCAAGAAAUUUACUGAAUGUGAGACUAAAUACUCAUUUUUAGAAAAGACUUAUUGCACUUUGGCUUGGGCUGCUCGACGCCUAAGACAAUACAUGAUUUGCCAGACUACUUUAUUGAUAUCCAGGAUGGAUCCAAUAAAGCAUAUAUUCGAAAAGCCUGUUGUUACUAGUAGAAUUGCUCGGCGGCAAAUAUUGUUAACCGAAUAUGAUAUCCAGUAUGUAACUCAGAAAGCAAUAAAGGGGAGCAUUCUGUUUGACUACCUUUCUCAUUUACCUGUGGAAGGUUAUCAACCGUUGAGGUUUGAUUUCCCUGACGAAGACAUCGUGUUUAUCAUAUACUUCACUAUGCUAGGCUCUAAGAUAAACCCUGAGGAAGGCCCCGAACCAGGAUCGCGAUGGACGCUCAUGUUUGAUGGUGCUUCCAAUGCUCGUGGUCAUGGCAUAGGCACAAUUAUUACUUCUCCAACUAGUUUCCACCUUCCAUUCACCGCUAGAUUAUGCUUUGACUGCACCAACAACAUGGCAGAAUACAAGGCAUGUAUCUACGGUAUGGAGGCGGCCAUCGACUUAAGGAUCAAGAUUCUUGAGGUAUACGGAGAUUCAGCUCUGAUAAUAAUUCAUGUAAAAGGUGAUUGGGAAACUAGGGAGAGCAAGUUGAUACCUUAUAAAGAGCAUAUCAGAAAACGGAUACCCUACUUUGGUGAAGUAUCUCUUCAUUAUAUUCCUAGGGAAUAAAAUUAGUUGGUAGAUGCUCUUGCUAUGUUGGCAUCUAUGUUUAAAGUCAAAUGGAAGAAUGAAGAACCUACUAUCCAUACUGACCACUUAGAUGAACCAGCACAUUGUCUAGAAAUCGAGGCAGAUCCUGAUGAUAAGCGCUGGUUCUAUGACAUAAAGACAUUCCUGGAGAAACUGCAAUAUCCCGAGGGUAUAUCUAUUACUGAUAAGAAGACCUUGAGAAGACUCUCUUCCAAGUUUUUCUUAAAUAGUGAUGUGUUAUAUAAAUGAAAUUAUGAUUUCGUACUGCUCAGAUGCAUGGAUAGACAUGAAGCUAGUACAAUCAUAAAAUCCAUACAUGAAGGCUACGAGGGUGUACAUGCGAAAGGUCCUGCUAUGGCUAAGAAGAUCCUCCGGGUUGGGUAUUACUGGACGACAAUGGAGGUUGACUGUUACAACUUUGUUAGAAGAUGCAACAAAUGUCAAAUAUAUGGUGACAAGAUCUUUGUGCCACUAACUUCGUUGAAUGUUCUGACGUCUCCAUGGCCCUUUUCUAUGUGGGGUAUCGAUAUGAUUGGGAUGAUAGAGCCUAAAGCUUCCAAUGGUCAUCGAUUCAUCCUAGUUGCCAUCGAUUACUUCACGAAAUGGGUCAAAGCUGAUUCAUAUGCCAAUGUCACUCGACAGGUGGUUACUCGAUUUAUCAAGAAAGAGAUAAUUUUUCUCUAUGGAAUUCCUAGCAAGAUCAUCACUGAAAAUGCUAGUAAUAUCAAUAAUAAUAUGAUGAAGGAAUUGUGUAAAGAAUUUAAGAUCGAGCACCACAACUCUUCACCAUACCGGUCCAAGAUGAACGGUGUCUUAGAAGCAGCUAAUAAGAACAUCAAGAGAAUCGUCCAGAAAAUGGUCAAGACAUAUAAGGAAUGACAUGAGAUGACACCCUUUUGCUCUGCACGGUUACAGGACCUAAAUUCACACAUCCACUAGGGCAACUGCAUACUCACUAAUGUAUGGGAUGGAAGUUAUUCUACCGAUUGAAGUCAAGAUUCCUUCGCUCAGAGUCAUCGUGGAGGUUGAUCUCGAUGAAGAUGAAUGGGUUAAUUGCGGUAUGGCUAGCUUAAUCUAAUAGAAGAAAAAUGUUUGACGACUGUUUUCCAUGGUCAGUUGUACCAAAGACGCCUCAAACGAGCUUUUGAUAAGAAAGUUCUUCCUCAUGAGUAUCGCGUAGGAGAACUCGUGCUCAAAAGGUAUUCUUCUAUUCACUCAAAUCCUCAGGGAAAAUGGACUCCCAACUACGAAAGACCUUUUAUCAUUAAGAAGGCCGUCUCAGGUGGAUCCCUAAUCCUCACAACAAUGGAUGGGGAAGAAUUGCCAUCGCCAGUGAAUACAUACAUAGUAAAAAAAUAUCAUGCCUAAAAAGAAAUUACAAUAAAAUCUUGCUAGAUUAAUCAUCACGAAAUUAAUCUAGGCAAAAAUGGCUAUCCCGAUGGACCAAAAAAUGAAUUGUCCAUGUAAAAGUUAGGGACCAAAUAAAAAUAUAAAGCUCGUUAGGUCGAAAACCCGAAAGGACGACUUAGGAAAAAAGGAGCAUCCCGGUGGACGAAAAGAAUAGAAAAUGUUCAGGCAAAAGUUAGGGAUAAAGGAAUUGACUAUGAUCCUUGAGCCUAUUAGCUACAAGCUAGAUCACAAAUGGUCAAAGAUCGAUCCAAUUAUCAUUAAUCAAAGCAAGGUCUUGGGAUUCAGAUCCUACAAUAGAUAAUGGACGAUGUUGUAAUCAAUGGAAAAAUACAAAAAUAUUUCCCAUUGCUAUUUCAUUUAUUUUUCAAUUUUGCGACGUCCUCUUUAAGGAUGUUUGCAUCUUUGUACACACCACAUGUACAGUUUUGUUCAUGAUCAAUAAAAUUCAAUUUCUUUUAUCGUAUGUUUUUGCUUCUCCUGCAUUUUGUUUGUGAAAUAAUUGAUUUAUUUUAAUCACAUAAAUGCUUUAAAAUUUCGGAGAAUAAUAAAAGCUACGUUAAAAUAAAACUUUAUGCAUUGCUGUAAACUCCCGAAAGACUUAAAAAGAUGACCGAUAGUUUGAAAGUUUCGCUUGAACGCCUGCAUUUGUCUUGAUAAUUGCUUGGAUUGAUCAUGCAUCACGUUAUUCCUCAGCAGGGUUAGGUGAAUCCUUAACAGCAGUGUUAACACCUUGAUUUCACAAUAUCAGUCUCUUUGGUACAGUUGAUGAUGAGUCAAAAUUCCCUCCAUACCAAAGAACCAUACCCCGUGAAUAACAUCCGUCGGACCAGAUAGACAUUCAUGCAUCAUGAAAAUAAAGCAUACGUCACGCAACAUGCAUAUCUUUCUCUCCAUGCAUAAUUUCCCACAGAAUAUCAAGAACAUAUGUGUACUUCAGCAGUAUGGCCAUCCGUUCGGGAAUUUUUUUGAAUACGUUAGUAUUUAAUCCUCUCCUACCCAGAAUACCUGAAAAAAUUCUGAAAUUCUUGUAUUCAGGUUCAAGAAGAUUAAAUAGGGGAAGCUGUUAUACCCCAAAAUUUUCCCUCCCCUUUUUCAUCUUUUCAUACAACCACUUGACUUGGGGAUCAUUUGCAUAUAUUCAUAACUCAUUCAUAUGUAUCAUUCAUCCAUUAAUGGAUCACUAUAGAUUCAAAGCUCUUGGCUUGUGAAGCUAGGGUUUGUGUAUGGAUCAAACUUCCAAAGUAUGGCUUGGCUAUUCAUCAAAGCAUAUGGGAUGUGAAACCCUAUUUGUCUGAUUUUGGAGAUGUGGACUUAACAAGGUUCCAUCAAAGCAAUCCUCAAGGGUUCCAAACCCUAGUUCUUGAUUAUAUGAUAAUGGGAUCCUAUGGAGCUUCUCUGGGCCUUGUCUUGGCUAUCAAAACCCUAAUGGGUGGGCUCAUACAUUGGAAAACUUGCUUGUGAAGCAUUUUGAUUGAUUCAAAGGCCUUGUUUGAAGGGUACACCUCAUUGAAACCCUAAUCAAGGAGGGUAUGGUCCUAAUGGGCCUUGUGGCUUGAAUUUCCAUAUGGUGACAUCCUAAACCCUAAUUUCUUGAUCUUGGACUUUAUUAUGGCAUACCUUAGGUCAUCUAAACCCUAAUAUGGUCUCAUUUUCAUUGGUGGGCCUCCUAACUAUAGUUACAAUUGUUGUGUGCUUCACUCAGCUUCUCAUUCAUGUUAUGGCUUUAGUUUUGGUUCCGUUCAUUUGUGCUUAAGUCUCUUGGUGCUAGCCCAAGAUCUUGACCUUACAAACCUCAUCUAAAUCGAUUCAUUCAUCUGAUCAUGAUCAUGAUAUCUUUGUUUGGACCAUGGUUUUGUUUGUGUCCUAGUACUUUGCAUUCGAUUGGCCUUGCUUAAGACUUUGUGGUUUUCUUGCAUGUGUCAUCUAUGGUUUUUGAUGAGAUUUUAUUCAAAUCCAUUUCAAGCAUGUCCAAGCUCACUCAUUAAGUCCAUUUUAUCACAUGAUCAUUCAAGUCCAAAUUCAAAUUAUUUCAAAUAACAUGUUCAUAUAAUAAAUCAAUUCAUUUUCAUUUUCAUUCAAUUGGCCAAUCCAAUUCAUUUGUUAUCCACAAAUUGUUCAUUAUAUAAAAAAUGCCAAAAAAUACAUGUGGACCAAAUGUUGACUUUGAUCAAUAGUUAACUUUUUGGUCAACUUUGACCAAAGUCAACUUAACUCUUUUUCCAUCCUAAACCCUAAUUUCUUUAAUCCUAUUCCUAAUCCCAAGGUUUCCAUGUUGAUUCUUGAUGCACCAUUUGAUCUUUUGUUUCAAAUUCAACUUGGUGCCAUCUUUGGUUACAUGCCUUGUUUAACCAUUCACACCAUGGUCAUGACUAACAAAUAUGUACAUUAACCAAGUUCUCAAAGCCAAUAUCCAUUCAUGAAGUUCUAAAUUCAACAUUUCCAAUGAAAGGUUACAAAACUCCCAUUUUAAAAAUCAAGACACAUGCCAUAAUGAAACCAUCCAUAACCAUGCUAUCUGUAACCAUGGAAAAGGUCAAUUACAUUCUAAGUACAUUUUAAGUUAACAAUUACUACGCUAACAUCAGAAUAGUCCAUCAUAGGAGCUCAAAUGGAGAGGGUUACACCAUGACAUCAUUGCCACAUGAUUGGAAUUGAACCAAGGAAGAAUGCUGCCCUUUCAGCAUCAUCAACAAUAGGGUCCUUGCAUUAUCCAUGCCACCAUCCUGCAACACCAUGGAAAACCAACAAAUGAAGGCAGCUCCAAGAGGAACAUAACUAAAGCAGUAUCACACAUGGUCCCUGGGUUAGCAAUGGACUGUCACAUGUGUUCAUCCACACACCAGUCAGUAGCAGUAAAAGUCACAUACAAAAGAAAAAAAUCAGUCCAUGGAAAAGUUUGAAUACUGGCAUUUGAGGCAACCAUCUCAUUGCCUACAUUUCUUGCACUUCAAGCAUAACAAACCAUCAGUCAAACCAGUUCAAGGAUCACAAACCAAACUGAAGGCAAGGUUGCACACAAACUGAACCUAACAUAGCAACGUACAACCAUGGAUCUAACAUCCACAUGAUAGGCAGCAUGAGUAUGCCAAGAUAUUCACAUUAUAUCAAUGCAAUGGAGCAACAGUCAUCACAUACUGCAUCCGAUUUUCACAAGCCUACAAGCACUAACAUUGAACCAAGUUUGAACCAAAAUGGACAAAUCUGCAUAUUUGGCUCCAUAACCAUUGCUAUUGUAUGAUACCAGCAAGUCAAGCAAAGGUCUUUUUUUGAAUUUGGUCUAUCAAAUGAAAGUGUUACCAGCAAAAUACAAGGCCAUUAAGUUGUAACAGGAAUCAAGACCAUACACAUACACCUGUCAAAGCUGUAAUGGAUUCAAGUAGACAUUCAUAAAUGGCAGUGGUGUAGAGCAAAAAAACCAAACAAGCAUACCAUACAUUUCUAAUAAUCUAACAUCAAAAUACCAACAAUAACAUGUGAACAACAAAAACCCACAAUAGCAAUACAUAGCUCACAUGAUGCAUGGUAACAUUCAGCAACACAAAUCAUAUAGCACUUAACAACUUGCCUCAUGUAGCGGGGUAUUCGUUACCAUUAGAGAUAUUGAAUAAAUCCAAGGUAAAUCAUACAAGCCGAGUCGCCACCGCACUUUUAUUUAUCCAAAGGAAUGGUUAGAAAGCGAACAAAAACCUAAAAAUUUUAUCGAAUCAAAAACUAGUAAAAAUGUCAGAAAUCUGGGUAAGGGGGUUGUUUAUGCAAUGGGAAGGUUUUAGGCACCCAAAACAUCCUAGGUACUCCUAGGGAGCCCUUUUCACAUUUGUUGUAAGGUUGGUGUUUUGUCAAAAUUUAUUUGUGCAAACAUGAUUGAAGAGAUGAGAAGAGAAUGUACAAGUUUAUUUACAUUUUGUGUUUGGAUGGAUGAACCCAUUGCCUACGUACCAUCUUAAAAGAUUAGGAUCAAAACCUCGUAGUUCGGGGUAAAAAUCUAAAAAAAAACAAGUUGGUGAAUUGAUUGGUCCAAAAGCCUUAAGGUCUUUUGUUAUCCAAGGGAGAAAACUCAACCUAAAACCACAAAUCCACCAUAUGAGGAUAGCUUCAACAUGCUAGUGAGGGGUUAAUAAGCAUGGAAGACCAUCGUCCAUCACUAAGGUAUAGGGUGAGUAUUACAUCUACCUCAAGGAUAACUCAACCUAAUAGCUAAAGGUUAUGAAAAAGUUUUGUUACGAGAGUGCGCCAUAAACCACAAAAGACAUUUGAAUGGGUUAUAUUUACCAAUGAAAAGUAUUUACAAAAUAUGGUCAAAGUUGACUUAAAGAUUCAAUUCAAAAUAAGUGUUAUGGAAAGAAAGUUUGAAAAUCAAAAGCAUAAGGCUUAGGUUUCUAAUGUUGAAAACAAGUGUUAAAUGUUUGCACAAAAGUUUUGGCUUGGGUUAGAGUGGAGAGAAGAAGAAAAAUGGAUAAAGUCCUAACAUACAAGAGGUAAGGAAUAAAUAAUAAGACCACACAUGAAGUUCCUCUCUUGAGAUCAUAUUGAUGAUCCAAGUAGCUCCCAUCCUUUGGAAUAAGCAAUCACAUAAGCAUAAACUCAAGCAAUCAACAAUCAAUGAACUCUUGGAAAGCUCCUCAAUGUAUCUUGGAUUUCUCUCUCUUAGAAGCUCAUGGCAAUGGUUCCUCAAUUUGGCUCAAAGUUGGAAUCCCUAUCACAAAAAAACACACACAUCAAAAGGUUCUAUUAAUAAUCAAAGAAUGGACAAGAGGGAGUUUAGAGUAUGGUCCUUUCAAUGUUCAUCUUCUAGUUUUAAGCAUUCUAAAGGCAUGAGGCCUAGUUGCUCUUUGACAUUUAAGCACUCUAAAGGCAUGAGGCCUAGUUGCUCUUUAAACUCCAUUAGCUUGGGUAAGGUCCUAAAGUCUAAGUUCAUUUUGUCCAAUUCUUUGCAUUGUGGUCAACAACAAUCAAACAAAACACAAGCACAAAAGUAUAUACACAAUUAUGUGCUCAAGUGAGCAAAAGGCAAAUUGCAUUAACAUAAACAUGUGCUCAAGUGAGCAAAGGAAAAAGCAAUUGAAUAAUAUGUACAAGAAUAGUAAAUUGCAUAAAAGUAAAGAGCAAAAAGUGAAGGUUAAUUGUUAAUGGUUAGUGUUAGUAGUUAGUGUGCCAUAAGGCAAAUUUAGCGCUAUGUUAAGCAAUCGUAAUUGGACUUAUGUAGAAGUCACAACUAUCUGAGGCCGGUCAAUAAUAAUGUAGGCAACAACACAAGUUAGAAGUCUUGAUUAGUGAACCAAGUUCCAACAACUUGCCAUGCCAAAAAGAAAAUGAGAAUUGAUCUUGUAUUGGUUUAAGCCUUUUGCAUGAUUUAGAAAACAACCUAUCCUUAAUGCAAAGCCAUUCACUUGAUCAAUUGAUCAAGAUGAAUUAGAUUUGAAUCAAGGAAGAUUAAAUCUCCCUAAUCAAUGCUAACUUAUCAACCUUCAACUCAUUGAUCAAGAAGAAGAGAAGUAGAAGAAGAAGAAGGAGAAGAUGGAUAAGAGAAAUGGAAAUGGCAAAAUUAAAGUGCAUUAAAUGAAAUACAAUGUACCAAUCCUCAUAUGUUGACCAAUAACAUUGAAAGUCAAGGUCAAACAAUCAAAAACAGAAGUGAGAUGAAGAUUGGAAAUCAAGAAAUGAAUAAAAUAUUUUUGGCAUUUUUUAAUAUUUAAAAUAAACUUGAAAUAAAAAUAAUGGAAAGGUCAAACUUCAAAAUCACUUCAAAUCAACCUUGAAAGGUCCAAGUGAUUUAUCCCAAGUUCAACAAGGUCAAACAAAGUUUGACAAAAAAUUUCAGCAUUUUUAAAAGUCAGAAACUAUUUUUAAUCAAUUAAAAAUGAAUAAAAAUAACCUAAUUGAACUAAAAUCUCAAAUAAAUCUCAAAUCAAUUAAAAAAUUGAUGAGAAUAUUUUUCAUAGAUCCAUCAUCAUUCAAAUAGGUUAGGAAAAUAUUUUUGUAUUUUUUGAAUAUUAAAAACUAUUUAAAAUGAAUUAAAAAUAACCAGAAAAGAGAAAAUUCACAAAAAAUAUCAAAUGACAAAAUAAAAAAUAUUAAAAAUCAUAUUUAGAAACUAGAAUUUAAAUAGAGAAGAAUGCAAUUGGUCUCAUAUUUUUUGGAAUUAAAAUGAAGAAGUUAUGAAUUUUUGAAAAUAAAGGAAAUAAAAGAAAUAAAAUCAGAAAUUAAGAAAAUCAAAAAAACCACAAGCGUCUGAUCAAGCCUCAUUAAUUGACGUGGCUGAUCAGACGGAUGUGAGAUAUGCGCUCAUGGUGAGUCCAAGUCAAACGCGUCACACCUAACAUUAAAGCAAGUAAUCCAAAGGCAUGGCUAAGAUUAAAACGUGGGAGAUGCAUCCAACAAUCCAGAUUGAAUCUGGCAUGGUGGACGGUGGCCAGCACCACCGCCUUAUCCGGCGAGCACUCAAGCUCCGGCCAUAGUUGGAGGUCCUCCAAACUCAACCAAAACUCACGAUCCAGGUACCAAAUUAAAGCUGGGGUGAUGUACAUCACCCAUAUGCCAUCUAUUUCUACUCUAGAUCUUCAUAGUGAGAGAAAUCAGAGGUUGAAACUUGAUGGUGUUCAUCAUAAACUUGCUUGAUUUUGAAAAUUGAUCAUACAUCAAUGGUGCCUCUAUAGAGAGGACUUCAGACAACACAAUAGCCAAGCAAAUAGAUCAAGGAAUAAGGAGUUUCGAAGAAAAAACCAGUUGAAGCAAACCUUUGAAUUGUGAAGAUCUGAGCUCCUUUCCUUGGUUCUUUUGUCAAAACAGAAGUUCAAUGGAUUAUAUGAUGAAGGUCUAGGAACUUUAGAUCUAAAGAUUCAACCAAAUUCAACUAAAUUUUAGAUCUGAAAAAUUGAAGAAAAUGUGAACUAGUUCCUUUAGGUAUGGCUAGGUUUUGAUUUCUGCAGCAUUUCAGAUUGAUUCAGGGUCCAGAAUUAUGAAGCAUACCAUGUCUAUUUAUAGAUGGAAUUGGCUGAGCAAGUGAAAAUUCUCGUGUGCAUGGCAAGUGGAUAUUCUUUGCAUGGGCUUGCAUGAUCAUGUAGAAGGCCCAAACUCAAUUGCAUUUGCAUGCUGAUGACCAAACAACUUGAAAUGGACGUGCAGAUGGCAAUGCAAUGGCUUGUGCAAUGAGUUUCAACAUGUUAUGCAUAAUUGAGCCUAAAACUUCACCUCUUCGAAAAUGCCACUUGGAAAAUUGAAACAUAGGCAUGUAGGUAAUGGUUGGAAAGGACUUGACAUAAGGAACAAAUGUUAUGUUGAGCAAAAACCCAUUUUGAAUGUGGAAAUUUAUGAAAACAGGCCAUGAAUUUCAUAGUGCAAAACAUGCCAUUGAGAAUUUUGCCAAAUUGGUCCAACUUCAAGCCCUUCUGUUUUGAUGAUUCCAGCCCCAAAUGGAAACACUUCCAACAUCAAAGUUAUAGGUCUUUUCAAUAAAAUCAAAAUGGACUUAAAUUUUGCAUCAUUUGGAUUUUUGAUGAAGGAGUUAUGGGCACUUGAAGUUGGACUUUUUUGCCUUUCAAUGCAUUUGGUCCAAAGUGACCUAUAAUGUUUUGCAUUAUCACAUGUAUUUCCUUUGAGAUUUUGAAAUUUUGUUCAACAUAACAUUUGAAGUAGACAUCUUAAGCUUUCCAAUUAAUUUUAUACCACCUCAAAAUCAUAAAAAAUGAAUGAUUUAUGUUCUUGGGAAUUUGACCCAAAAUUAGGGUUUCAGUCAAAAUGACCUAUAAUGUCUUGGAAUAGGAGAUGACCUUCCAAGCUUCAAAUAAAUUUUUGAUGAACAUGAAAGUUGUUCAUAUUGUCCUUAAGAACAUUAUUUCUUUUGGGAUCAUCCCCAUUUGACCAACACAUAAAAAGUUAGGUCUCAGUGUACUUCAAAAUGGUCAGAUGGAUUGACUGAUCAACUUCUCAAGUCCACAACUCGUAUCUUGAUGAAUUGAUGAUUGAGGACACUCAAAUAAGUUCAAAUAUGCAUGAAAUUAUGAAUUAAAGAACUUCCCUUGAUUGUAUUUGANCCAAAUUGGUCCAACUUCAAGCCCUUCUGUUUUGAUGAUUCCAGCCCCAAAUGGAAACACUUCCAACAUCAAAGUUAUAGGUCUUUUCAAUAAAAUCAAAAUGGACUUAAAUUUUGCAUCAUUUGGAUUUUUGAUGAAGGAGUUAUGGGCACUUGAAGUUGGACUUUUUUGCCUUUCAAUGCAUUUGGUCCAAAGUGACCUAUAAUGUUUUGCAUUAUCACAUGUAUUUCCUUUGAGAUUUUGAAAUUUUGUUCAACAUAACAUUUGAAGUAGACAUCUUAAGCUUUCCAAUUAAUUUUAUACCACCUCAAAAUCAUAAAAAAUGAAUGAUUUAUGUUCUUGGGAAUUUGACCCAAAAUUAGGGUUUCAGUCAAAAUGACCUAUAAUGUCUUGGAAUAGGAGAUGACCUUCCAAGCUUCAAAUAAAUUUUUGAUGAACAUGAAAGUUGUUCAUAUUGUCCUUAAGAACAUUAUUUCUUUUGGGAUCAUCCCCAUUUGACCAACACAUAAAAAGUUAGGUCUCAGUGUACUUCAAAAUGGUCAGAUGGAUUGACUGAUCAACUUCUCAAGUCCACAACUCGUAUCUUGAUGAAUUGAUGAUUGAGGACACUCAAAUAAGUUCAAAUAUGCAUGAAAUUAUGAAUUAAAGAACUUCCCUUGAUUGUAUUUGAUCAUGGGCCGAGGUUGCUUCAUGAGCAAGGCACAGUUGGAUGAACAAAUGAAUUAGGGUUUCCUUGGGAACAAACCUCAAACCCUUUGACUUGCUUUGAUCAAAAUGAUGAAUUGAGAUACUAGGGAGGCAUAUUUGAUGGAUGAGAGAUUUUGGAACCAUUACCAUGCUUGUUUUCAUCUUCUCUUGACCAUAUCUUUGCACAAAUGAUCUCAUAGGAGCUCUUGACCUUGUGAUUGCUCAAGCUACAAAUAAAAGAUGUUAGUGACAUAUUUUUGUGCUUUUGGUUAGUAAAUAAAAUGAGAAAAGCAAUAAUAUACAAUUCAAGCAUGCUUGGUGAUCUCAAACCACUCACAAGAAGUCCCAACCAAAGGCAAAGGGAACCAAGAUGCUCAUGAUCCUUGAGGCUUUGCAAAUGCAAUGUUAUGAUGCCAUGAGGGAUCUUAGGACAAAAUUGGGGUCUUACAGAUGCCCCUAUUUAAGGUCAUUCUAGCCGGAGAAGUAAAGGUUAAAAUCUUCGUCUCGACGAGGUAGAAUGGGCUUAAAUAAUAACAGAGAGACAAAUUUUGGUCCCUAAGAGACCUCAUGAUGCGAAUGCAUGUAUGCAAAAGGUAAUACUCUGUGGAGAUAUGUGUCCACACAGAAAGAAAAGAAAACAGGAGAAACUGAUAAUCCAUAUGAGUAAUUUACUCCAUGGAUCAAAGACUCUAGGACUCUCAUGGGGAUAAGGAAAGGAAUAAAAAGCGUGAGUAGGUCACGACUUGAAACGUGGGGAGCAGAACUCAAAAGGGGUAAGUCAAUGGAAAGACCCGAGCUGACUCAAAGGAGCGUAUAUUGGGGAAUAUGCCAAUACAGCAGAAAUUAUCCAUAACGGAUACUUCGGGUAAAAAUCCGGACUCAGGCUGGGAGAAUCCACUAAGGGACCUCGCUGGGGAAAACCCGAACAAAAACUCCUCUGAGGAAGCAACAGGAUGAGGUAUUACCGGUUACUGGGUAAUAAGCUCAAAGAGACAUAUGAUCUGAACACCGGUAUAAGGGUGAGGGAACAACAUGCUCGGGGGAAUGAAUAUCUAAGACCUGUAUAAAGGUGAGAGAUAUCAAAUGUCCGAAAUCAUCUGAGGAAGACCUAAAAAGGUAUACUUCAGCUCAGGAAAAUCUGACUCCGCAAGGGGACAAAAAGUCAUAAUAGGGAGCAGAGAGGAAGGAACACCAGGGAUACCGGUUACUGGGAAUAUAAUAGGUGACCAACCAAAGCGUGAAUUGGGGAAUAUUCCCAAGACACUCAUCAUCCAAAAGAGGGCUAAAAGCAAACUCAAAUAUAGGAUGGACAUUCGAUUCCAAAAAAAAGGGAUACGAAUCUUACUCGACUGGGGAAGAACAAAAGGCUUCGACCAAAGAGUGCAUGAUAUAUAUUAUCUAUUACUGUCAGAACAUAGAUAACAUACUCGCAUGGAAGAUUAUCCACAACCGGUUACUGGGUUAAUAAAGGAUAAAUCGACAGACAGAGAAAGGCAUCGGGAUACCGAAUACUGGGUAUAAAAUGAUGACCAAUCCUGGGGAGAAGCAAUCGUCACCAACAACAAAGGGUAGACGAGAGAUGACUCGCUGGGGAUAAAUCGCUUGAUCAAAGCAAUUAUCCAAAAGAUGAGGGAAUAUCAACACCGAAUAUUUGGAUGAAGAUAACCGUCAAUGAGGGGAUUACAUCUAUCGGAUACUGGGUAGAAAACCACGGAGAAGUAACCGUCAUCGGUUAGGAUGAGCAAAAGGUUAACUCUGCAAGGGGAAAAAAUAGGGUUUACAACUACCAGCAUGAAGGUAGAGAAUCGCAAAAAUAGGACUUAUAACCACCGGUAUUAGGGUAGAAGGCCACAGACUCCGCCGGGGAUAAGAUGAAUAAUUACUGGUUACUGAGCAAUCAUUCAUUUACACCAUAGGGGAGUGCAAGAAGCGGCCAAAAGAGGCCAAUCUAGGAUCAAACUAGAUGGGCACGCUGAAACAAAACUUGUCCCUAUGAGGAUAUAACUCAAUGGGGAACUCCAUCCCAAUAUAUGUGUUGGGAGGAAAACAGAAGCAACCAUCAUCCACGAGGGUAUAAGAUAUAACUCAAUGGGGAACUCCAUCCCAAUAUAUGUGUUGGGAGGAAAACAGAAGCAACCAUCAUCCACGAGGGUAUAACUCAGUGGGGAAUAUGGAAGGAAAGAUGAACACUUUCUGCUUAUGGGAUAACCCUAUAUGGAGAGAUCAACCGCCAACAUCUGCUUGGGGAACAUAACACCCUCAAACAAGAGAUAACAAACAAAGAUAUAUGUCAAACAAAUGCGACAUGAAUGUUAUCAAUAUGCGCAUAUGUAUGGUUUUUGUAUGAUGAAUGCUGACAAACAAACAUUUCUAACACAAACAGGUCCAACGAACAAAUACACAAACAUCCGGUACUACAUCUCAAGAGAGAGAGCCAGGACCACGAAGAUCUCCGCAGGGGAAAGAGAAAAACAUUCCAGCUGGGGGCAAAGAUCAUCAAAAUCUGCCAUGGAAGCACUCUACUGGGGAAAUUAUCAGAGGAGAUCAUGGAACUCUGUGGGGAACAACCACCAACAAGAAGUCUCCAGGGGUCAUCAAAUACUGUCCCAAAUAAUGAGAUCACAUCUGCUGAGGAGGAAGAAUCACUAUUCUGCUGUAGGAAAGAGGGAUGAAUAAAUCUUCCCCACAAUCCGCUAGGGGAAGAAACCACAAAAGGCUCAGGAGGAAGAGGACACAAAUAAGCCAGGAAUAGGAACAAAUGUCUUACCCUGUCGAGAAUCUUACCAUCUUUGGGAGAGCACUGAAGACAUCCCCAGAAUCCCUUUCAUCAUUGUGAAUGUUCACUUUGUUUAAAAACAAAUUAUAAAAGAUUUGAAUAAAACAAUGAUAUUUUUUCAAUUAAAACAUGCAAAACAUUUGUUGAAUAGAAACAAAUAAGAGUGCAAUUUUUUUUGGAUAAAGGCUCAAGUUUAUUUGAUAGGAUGGUAGCCUGCAAAUGGCAAGAGUCCAUAAAUCUUUUCAAAUUUGAAAUUGGUGAUAUAUAUUGGAAAAGGACUACAUUGAACAUAAUGACCAUUUCUCCACCAAUUCUGAAUCCAACGUAUUUGGAGCUUUGGUUGAUGAUGAAUGAGCGAGAACCUCUGACGGAUGACAGCUUGUAGAACAAAGUCUUGUCAGGAUGCAGUUACUUGCCAAAUCCCUAUUUUUUGCCUAGAUUGCCCCAGGGUGAGGUACUCAAUCUAGCGGGAUACAUAUAUAUUUUUUUAUGUCUCUAAUUUUUGCCUGGAUCGCCCUUUCGGGUUUUCAAUCCACCGAGACGCUCAUUUUUUCCUAAGUCGCCCUUUCGGGUUUUCAACUUAGCGAGCUAUUAUGUUUUUAUUCAUUUAGGCAAAGUAUUUCUUGACUGCAUCUGAAUUCACAGGACGAGUGAGAUCCUCCCCAUCCAUAGUUGUAAGUAUCAAUGCACCGCCUGAAAAGGCUUUCUUAACAACAUAUGGACCUUCAUAGUUUGGAGUCCACUUGCCCCUGGAAUCGGGCGCGAAAGACAAGACUUUCUUGAAUAGUUGUAAGUAUCAAUGCACCGCCUGAAAAGGCUUUCUUAACAACAUAUGGACCUUCAUAGUUUGGAGUCCACUUGCCCCUGGAAUCGGGCGCGAAAGACAAGACUUUCUUGAGCACAAGGUCGCCCUCUCGGAACACACGAGGCUUCACCUUCUUAUCAAAGGCUUUCUUCAUCCUUUGCUGAUAUAACUGACCGUGGCACAUGGCAGUCAAUCUCUUCUCUUCAAUCAAAUUCAACUGAUCAUAACGACUCUGAACCCAUUCAGCAUCAGUCAACUUGGCUUCCAUCAAGACUCUCAUUGAUGGGAUCUCCACCUCUACUGGGAGCACAACCUCUAUGCCGUGAACAAGAGAGAAAGGGGUUGCCCCUGUUGAAGUGCGGACAGAUGUACGAUAUCCAUGUAAAGCAAAUGGCAGCAUCUCAUGCCAAUCUUUAUAUGUGACAACCAUCUUCUGGAUAAUCUUCUUGAUAUUCUUAUUAGCAGCUUCAACAGCCCCACUCAUCUUGGGUCUGUAAGGAGAAGAAUUAUGAUGUGCUAUCUUGAACUCGCUACAUAGCUCCUUCAUCAUCUUGUUGUUCAAGUUAGAUCCAUUAUCCGUAAUGAUCUUAUCUGGCACACCAUAUCGGCAUAUGAGUUGAUUCUUGAUAAACUUCACGACCACCUGCCUGGUCACAUUUGCAUAUGAUGCCGCUUCAACCCACUUAGUGAAGUAAUCAAUUGCUAAGCACACCAUAUCGGCAUAUGAGUUGAUUCUUGAUAAACUUCACGACCACCUGCCUGGUCACAUUUGCAUAUGAUGCCGCUUCAACCCACUUAGUGAAGUAAUCAAUUGCUACGAGAAUAAAUCUGUGACCGUUAGAUGCUUUCGGUUCUAUCAUGCCAAUCAUGUUGAUCCCCCACAUGGAGAAGGGCCAUGAUGAUGAGAUCACAUUCAGAAGUGUCAGAGGAAUAUGAAUCUUAUCCGCGUAAAUCUGACACUUGUGGCAUUUCUUCACAUAUUUGCAUCAGUCAGACUCCAUUGUCAGCCAAUAGUAGCCUGCUCUCAAUAUCUUUCUAGUCAUGGAAUGUCCAUUGGAAUGUGUACCAAAUGAACCCUCAUGGACCUCAGUCAUCAACAAGUCUGCUUCGUGUCUAUCCACGCAUCUGAGCAGCACCAUGUCAAAAUUUCUCUUAUAAAGUACAUCACCAUUGAGGUAGAAACUGCCAGACAAUCUCCUCAAAGUCUUCCUAUCUUUCACAGAUGCACCAGGUGGGUAAAUCUGGCUCUGAAGGAAACACUUGAUAUCAUAAUACCAUGGCUUAUCAUCUUUCACCUCUUAUACUGCAAAUACAUGAGCUGGUCUAUCCAAGUGCAUCACAAUGAUAUUGGGAACUUCAUUCCAAAGUUUUACCACAAUCAUCGAAGCAAGUGUAGCAAGGGCAUCUGCCAUCCGAUUCUCAUCUCGAGGAAUAUGAUGGAAGUCAACCUUAGUAAAGAAUGUUGAAAUCCUCCUCGCAUAAUCCCUAUAUGGAAUGAGGCUAGGCUGAUUCGUUUCUCAUUCACCCUUAAUCUGAUUAACAACGAGGGCUGAAUCACCAUAUACAUCAAGAUGCUUGAUCCUUAAAUCGAUGCACUCCUCCAAUCCCAUAAUACAGGCCUCAUACUCAGCCAUAUUAUUCGUGCAUUUGAAAGUUAGCCUUGCUGUAACAGGAAAAUGUGUGCCCUGAGGAGUAAUAAUCUCUGCCCCAAUACCAUUUCCAUAUUGAUUUACAGCGCCAUCAAAUACCAUACUCCAUCUGGAACCAGGUUCUGGCCCUUCAUCGAGUGUAGGCUCAUCACAAUCUUUCAUUUUCAAAUACAGAAUCUCCUCAUCUGGGAAAUCAUACUGAACGGACUGAUAAUCCUCAAUCGGCUGAUAUGCCAAGUGGUCAGCCAAGAUACUACCUUUAAUAGCCUUCUGAGCUCUAUACUCAAUAUCAUACUCAGAUAACAACAUCUGCCAACGGGUAAUCCUUCCAGUUAAAGCAGGCUUCUCGAAGAUAUACUUGAUUGGAUCCAUUUUGGAUAUCAACCAAGUCGUAUGAUUCAACAUAUACUGGCGUAAGCGCUUAGCAGCCCAAGCCAAAGCACAUCAUGUUUUCUCAAGCAUCGAGUAGGAGGAGCUUGAAUAUCGGCGCACAUGUGGCAGUCAUGUGGGAUAUGAAUCUGGAAAUGUAAUUCAAGCGGCCAAGAAAACCUCGGACUUGCUUCUCAGUUUUGGGCGCAGGCAUCUCUUGUAUUGCCUUGACCUUUGCAGGAUCAACCUCAAUACCUCUUUCACUAACGACAAAGCCCAAUAGCUUGCCGGAACGAACUCCGAAUGUACACUUGUUGGGAUUCAGACGAAGCUUGUACUUCCUCAAACGCUAAAAAAGCUUCAACAGGUGUUCUACAUGUUCAACUUCCGUUCUUGACUUAACAAUCAUAUCAUCAACAUAUACCUCGACCUCCUUAUGCAUCAUAUCAUGAAACAAGGUAGUCAUAGCUCGUUGAUACGUGGCUCCGGCGUUCUUCAAACCGAAGGGCAUCACUCAAUAACAGAAUGUUCCCCAAGGUGUGAAAAAUGUUGUCUUCUCCAUAUCCUCGGGUGCCAUUUUAAUUUGAUUAUAUCCGGAAAAUCCAUCCAUAAAUGAGAAGACUUUGAAUUUAGCUGUAUUAUCUACCAACAUAUCAAUAUGUGGUAGUGGAAAAGCAUCUUUCGGACUAGCUUUAUUCAAGUCUCUAUAGUCCACACACAUCCGGACUUUUCCAUCUUUCUUAGGCACGAGCACAAUAUUGGCCACCUAUUGAUGAUAUGUAGAAGUCACCAGAAACCCCGCAUCAAUUUGCUUCUGAACUUCUUCUUUGAUCUUUACUGCCAUAUCAGGAUGAGUUCUUCUGAGCUUUUGCUUUACAGGCACACACUCAGGCUUCAAAGGUAGGAAAUGUUGCACGAUAUCAGUAUCUAGACUAGGCAUGUCUUCAUAUGACCAAGCGAAGACGUCAACAUAUUCUCGUAGCAACUCAAUCAACCCCUUCUUAACAGAUUCUUCCAGAAGUGCCCCAAUCUUCACUUCUCGCACACAAUCCUCAGACCCCAAGUUGACUGUUUCCAGAUUCUCAAGAUGCGGCUGAAUGAUCUUCUCUUCAUGCUCAAGUAGACGGGUAAUCUCGUAUUUCCAGAUUCUCAAGAUGCGGCUGAAUGAUCUUCUCUUCAUGCUCAAGUAGACGGGUAAUCUCGUCAGGAAUCUCUUCAACAUCAUCUUCUUCCGCCUCAAAUACAGGGAAUUCAAAGUUGGGAGACGGUGUUGGAUCAUUAUGUUCAAUGGGUUUGACUAUCCUGCAUAAUGAUUUUGGAUAUAAAAGAAAUUUAGAACUCAAACAAGGCAAAUCAUUAUGCAGAUGAAAAGAUUGAUUUUAUUCUUAUUUUUUUUUGGGUUUUUUGUGAUCACCAAUUUCAUGCAAAAAAGCGAAAAGGGAAAAUAAUUGGAAAAACAAACAUUUAACAUGAAUUUAUUGAAUGAAAAUAUCAUUGAAUUUAUGUGCCAACAAUGUCAUCACUCCUCCUUUUGGCAUGGGAGAAGGGUUUUCAAACACAAUGAACAUUACUUUGACUUAUGGAUAACUGUUGGAAUAUCCACAACGACCUAAUUAUUGCAGAUCCCUCCAGGGAUGAUGAAAUUGCCAGAAUCCUCUUCGUCCUCUUCCAAAAUGGCAUCAGCCUCUUCAUCUCGACUGUUAAACAAACCUUGCUUGUUGAAGACCCCAGAAGAAUAGCCUAUACCAACCCGGGACUUGUUGUCUUCCAACUUGAUCAUUUACCCCAAACCGGCAGUUGCACCAUGGUCAAUGGCCAACUUCGCAUCUUUAUAGGAAACAAAUGAGGGAGUUUUCUUCUUAACAGGUUCAGCAAUGGAUAAAGCUUGGAAAGGAGUUCCAACUUCAUCCUCAGCAUCUAUGUAUGAGAAAGAAGACAAAUGGCUAACCAGGAGAGCCCUUUCUCCCCCUACCACCACCAGUUUCUUGUUCUUAACAAAUUUCAGUUUCUGGUGUAGGGUGGAUGUCACGGCGCCUGCCUCGUGAAUCCAUGGUCUGCCUAAGAGACAACUAUAUGAUGGGUGAAUGUCCAUAACCUGGAAGGUAAUCUGGAAAUCACUUAGUCCAAUUUUGACUGGGAGAUCAACCUCACCAAUCACAGUUUUGCGAGACCCAUCGAAAGCCUUCACAACUACUCCAUUCUGCCUCAUGGGAGGCCCUUGAUAUGACAACUUCGCGAGAGUGGUCUUCGGCAAUACAUUCAACGAUGACCCAGUGUCCACCAAAACAUUGGACAUGGCAUCAUCUUUGCAGCUCAUAGAUAUAUGUAAUGCCAAGUUGUGGUCUCUUCCCUCCUCGGGGAGAUCAGAGUCACAAAAACUCAAAUUGUUACAAGCGGUGAUAUUUGCAACAAUUUUAUCGAACUGUUCUUGUGUGACAUCGUGAUCUACGCGCGCCACAUCCAACACCUUCUGCAGAGCUUCCCGGUGUGGUUCUGAAUUCAAUAGUAGUGAUAACACAGAUAUUUUGGAUGGCGUUUGUAGAAGCUGGUCUACGACAUUGUACUCACUUCUCUUGAUGAGCCUCAGCAUCUCAUCACAAUCUUCUUUCGUAUUGCCACUCGGGCCAACAGAAGCAGGGGUUUUCAACAUGGAGGCGGGCUUAGCAACAAGUGUCGGAUUUGGAGUGCUCACAGCAUUCCCAAUCGGGCAUUCAACAAAAUCAGCAUCAAUACUUCCUUGAGCAUCAGCUUGAGGCUUCAAUGGAGCUAAAAACACACGACCACUACGGGUCAAACCACUGACAUCAGCAAUGUUAACAACAGAUGAAGAGGGCAAGGACACCUCUUUCCCAUUUUCCACUACUACAACAUUGUAGCGAUAGGGAACCGCUUUCUCGGAGGAGUACGGUACAGGUCCGGCUGGCUUGAUAGUCAGAGCUGGAGAAACCUUCUGCUUGCUACCAUCAUACUUGAUGACAACGGGCUCAGGUAUCCGGAAUACCGGAGAAAUUACAUUGACUUCGAGCUCAUCUUCGUCAACAUUUCUGUUAUGAAGGAUCUCAAUGACUCCUUCAUCCAACAUCUCUUGAACAUCUCUGCGCACCUGGGGACACCCUCUCUGAUUCACAGAACAUACUCUGCAUCUAUUGUGGUCAUGCUCAUAAUGGCUAUAAUCACACAGCAAGCGAUGCAACUCAACCAGCGAUUGUCGGAUAUGGCUGACAUAUUUAACUUUGUACUUGCCAGGACAGUCCUGAACCAUAUUAACAGACUUCCCAUGCUCGGGCAAUGGGUUCUUUUUCACAUUUGGACCUACGUCCUCGCAAAACAAAAUCCCACUUCUCACAAGUUCUUGCACCUUGGUCUUCAAGGGAUAACAAUUUUCCACAUCGUGUCCGGGAACACCGGAAUGAUGUACACAAUGAAGCUCAGGCUUGUACCACCACUGGGGGUUAGUAGGUACGACGGGAGGAUCUCGCAAAGUGAUCAACUUUCUAUCGAUCAAAGAUGGAUAGAAUUCGGCAUAAGUCAUCGGAAUUGGAUCAAAGGUGACCCUCUUCCUCUCAUAGCUGGUGUUGAUAUUGUUGUUGUUAUUUCGAGGCUGGUGGGCCUGCUGUGGCGGACACUGUUGUUGUUGAUGUUGCUGAGUUUGCGGUUGUUGAUAAUGUUGAGCUUCCCUAAAAACAGGUGCUAUGUGAGCCACCUAAUGCUGAUCAUUGACUGGGCGAGCAAUCUUCCUCUUCAUAGAGGGUCUUCUUUUGACAUGGGAAGACACAGCAUGUGCCUCUCCCUCCUUCUUUUUUGCAAAGCUUCCAUAUCUCUUUGCUGAAGAGCCUUCAUCUCGAGUUAAACGUCCUUCACGGACCCCCUCUUCCAGUCUCAUUCCCAUAUUUACCAUCUCGGUGAAUUCUGACGGAGCACUGGCUAUCAUUCUCUCGUAAUAAAACGAGCUCAAGGUCUUUAAGAAGAUCUUGGUCAUCUCUUUCUCCUCUAGGGGAGGCACUAUCUGAGCUGCCAAUUCGCGCCACCUCUGGGCGUACUCUUUGAAGGUCUCUUUCUCUUUCUGGGACAUCACCCUCAACUGGUCUCUAUCAGGAGCCAUAUCCACAUUAUAUUUAUAUUGCUUGACGAAGGCCUCGCCCAGAUCAUUGAAAGAGCGGAUGUUCGAACUCUCCAAACCCAUGUACCACCGGAGAGCAACACCGGACAGACUGUCAUGGAAAUAGUGGAUGAGCAGUUGAUCAUUAUCAGUUUGCGUUGACAUCUUGCGAGCAUACAUCACAAGAUGACUGAGCGGGCAUGUGUUCCCCUUAUAUUUCUCAAAGUCAGGCACUUUGAAUUUAAUAGGGAUCUUCACGUUGGGCACAAGACACAACUCAUCAGAACUCUUCCCAAAAAGGUCCUUCCCCCUCAAAGUCUUCAGUUCCUUGCGAAGCUCAAGGAAUUGGUCUUUCAUGUCGUCCAUCUUCUCAUAAAUUUCUGGGCCCUCGGAUGGCUCAGAAUGAUAGAUGGUAUCUUCAACCCUUGGUAAAGUGUGCACGACAGGAGGUGGCACUGAAAGGACAGGGCUAGAUACCGGCAAAGAAGCAAGAGUUGGAGCAAAACCUUUUGGCAUAAAGUUGGCGGGCAUUCCCCAAGGGAAUUCGGCUGGCAUAGAUGGUGCAAAAUGGGCUGUUGCAGCAGGCACAGUAGAAGUUACAACCUCAGAAAUGACCGUCCUCUGGGGAGGAGUUACAGGUGUUGGAGAAGAUUGGCUCUGAGCGGCCAAGAAUGACUCCAUCAAGGCAGUCAAUCUGGCUACCUCCUCCUUCUGCUCGCGGUUCUCUUGUUCCAAAUGAUCCAUCAGUCUCGAAGAAUUGGCUCUGGUGAGUCAGCUUGUCUUUGAAAUAAAUGAAGAACACAGAGUUAGACCAUAGGACAAGAAGC